UCUCCUAUCACCUAUCAUUAAACUAGUAUAGAAUUACAUUUUCUGCUAACUACACUUGCUAAUAUUACUCAAAUAAUCAGGGGACAUUACAGUGGAUCCUAUUUCUUAGGGAAAUGAUUCAACAUCUUUAAAAUGCUUUGCCAUGCAGCUGUAUUCCUCCAUGAAUGUGCAUAUGCAUUACAAUAUCCUUAAACAUUCUUGCCGAGUUGAGUCGACCCUUCUGAAACCUCAUCAUGUUCCUAUAUUUCCAGAUGCAAUACGGAUUCAUAGCAAAAUUGGAACAAAUAAUUUCCACGUGUCCAAUCUUUCUCUUGGCUAUUUUGCAGAUACAAUCCAAUUCCUCUGGCCAGGGCGUUAUGUUUCUGUUAAAGCCUAGACAUUUUACCACAAUACUCCACAUCUGCUUGCUAUAAUUGAAUUCAAAGAAAAGGUAUUCAAAUAUCUCCACAGUUUGAUUGCAAGAAUUGUAUUCAGGUGUUACUUGGAUCCUAAUUUCCUAAAUUCUUUCAACUGUUGCUAAUCUUUUAUUCACUGCUAGCCAUAGAUUUAACUUAAGCCUGGGAUAGAUAUGUUUAUGCAAUGUAAUACUCUUCCCAGAUGUGUUUAUGCAAUGUAAUACUCUUCUAGGCUACGUUUGUAUAAUGUGGUUUCAAAGUCAGAUAAGCCUGCCUGAUAGAGAACUUAUCACCUUGUACUAGCUUAUCCGGUGUUUGUAUUAAUACCUCCUGGAUCUACAUUUGUGGCUAUAUCCCUUUAUACUAACAAUUAUCUUUCUCACCACCCAAGCUGCAUUUUUUGGUAGGCAUAAUGUUUAAGUCCCUCUGCUUGACAUAGUAGUAGUUCACCCAUUUAAUCCAUAGUGUGUCCUUCUUUAUUAAAACAACCCACAGGUGUUUUAGAAUGACUGCUUUAUUCUAAAACUUCAAGUCAAUAACUCCCAGUCCACCUGUUGAUCCUUUUUGACAUAUCUUCUCCCAUGCAAUCAAAGAUUUUUUUUGACAUUUCACGCCAAUCCAUAAAAAGGUUCUACAAAUAGCUUCCAGCAGCUUAAUCAAUUUCUUAGGCAAGAUAAAUAUUUAUGCCCAAUAGCUUUAAAUACCAAAUACCACUGCUUUUAUAAGUUGAAGUCUACCAGCAUAUGAGACCAGUCUUGCCAUUCAACAUGUAAUUUUUGCAGAGAAUUUCUCCACCAGAGGUAUAUAUUGUGCAAUAGUGAGCUUCUUUAUAGAUAGUGGAACACGCAAGUACCUAAAUGGUAAAGUCCCUUCUCCAAAUCCCAAGCUCUAUAAUAGAUCACACUUCAGAUUAUUACCUACUCUUGCUAUAUAGAUAAAGCACUUGUCAUCAUUUGUGUCCAGCCCAGAUGCUCUUGAGAACCUUUGGAAGGUUUGUUGUAGCAACAUAACAAAAUUUUUGUCAGCCCUGGAGAACAUCAGCAGGUCAUCUGCUAAGCACAUAUGAAUUAGGUUAAAUAUCUUAUAUCUUGGAUAGAAAUGGAGCUAUUUCUAUUUUGCUAGCUAUUCCAUUUCUCUCUGAAGGUAUUCCAUGGCUAUCAAAAAGAGGUAAGGGGACAUAGGAUCCCCUUACCUUAACCCUCUCCUAGUAUAUAAUGGUUUAGUGAGUCCAGCAUUUAGCAUCAAAGAAUAAUAUAUAGUAGAGACACACUCCAUAAUUGAUAAUUUUUAAGGGAAUCCCAACUCAAAAAGCAUGGCCUUGAGGAAAGGCCACUCAAGGGUAACAUAAUCUUUUCUGAGAUCCACUAUAAGAACACAUCUAGGUGAGAUAUUUUACGUAGUAUACCCCUUGAAAAUCUUAUGACUAAGUAGAAUAUUAUUUGUAAUAGCUCCUAUUUCAAUGAAGGCAUACUGUGAACAUCGAAUAAUACCAUUCAAAACUUGUGUUAUCCUGUUAGCCAGAAUUUUAACAACAAUUUUGUAGAUAGUGUAACAACAUGCAAUUGUAUAAAGUCCUUCACCUUAGUUGGUGAUGGAACUUUAGGAAUCAAUGUGAUAGUUGUACAGUUCUAAGUUCUCUUCAUAUUUCCAGUAAUAAAAAAAUAUUGCAUAGCUGAAUAGACCUCUGUUUUGACUAUAGCCCACUGUUGUUGAAAAAAUUCAAUAGGGUAAUGAUCCACCCCUGGACUUUUGUCUUUAGUCAUGCUAGUUACAACCUGGACUAUUUCCUUUGGACUCACCAUCUACAGUAGCUGAAUCUGUUGUUCUCUAGUAAGGCAUGACCCUUUUUUGAUCACUUCUGAGUUUGGAUAUGCUAUUUCAACAACACAAUCUCCCAUAAGUGUAGUAAAGGUAUCAGUAAAUUCAGCCUCUACUUUUUGUGGAUUUGUGAGUUUUGUUCCAGUUUUAGUAUAAACUGAUGAAAUUGUAUUUUGGGCAGACCUAAUCUUGAGUUGAGAUUGAAAAUACUUUGUAUUAGCAUCACCGCUAUCAAUCCAAUAUGCUCUAGACUUCUUUAUCUAUACCUGCUCUUCUACAAAGCUCCAUUUUUGAAUAUUCAUCAGAAUAGCCUUUUCUUGAUCAAAUAAAGUCUGAUUAUUCAAUUUGGAAGUAAUCUGAGCUUGUACUCUUUCAAGUUGUUUCUAGACUGGUAUAGAUUUUGAGCAUAUGAAGCCAUGUAUGUGUUGAGGUCUUUCAUUUCCACUUUUAGUUUCUUUAGUCUAUCACUGAUAAUAGUCAUAGGGUCCCCUCUCAUUUGUCUACUAUACAUCUGUUGCAAACUCUGUUGAAACCGGUGAUGCAACAAGACUGAAGCAUAUAGCCUAAAUGUCUCUGGUUGUUAAUAUUCUCUAUGUAUAUAUUGGACCAAUGCUGGAGAGUGAUUAGAAAUUCUCGGACACAAUAAAUCCACUUCAAUGUGAGCAAAACCUCCAACUACCCUAAAUUAAUACAUACUAAUAAGAAAAACACAAUAAAAGAAUCAUAACUGACUUGUGUCCUUGAAAUAAGAGAACUCAUCACCUAUUGGCUGAAUUUUGUGAACUAUCUAACCCUGGUGUGUGGGAUAUAUCUGGUACCUACAUUAUGAAGCAAUGUAUCCACAGACACAUAUAUGUGAUCAGUACAUUAAAAUGUACUGAGUAUGUGAGAAAUGCACUAAAUCAUGAAAAUGCUUAAUGUAUGCUUUAAAACUAAGGACAUAAGCUAUUUGCUGAAAUAUACAUUUCAAUCAUGGCUGCAUGUAAAAGAUGUACGACAUUAUAAAAUUUUUAAUUCGUUAACUAAAAAUAUUUCUAUAAGUUGGGAAGCAGUAGAAACAUGAAUACCAUAUAUAAAUACAAGUUAUAGCUGAAUAGACUGUUAAAACCAUACUGAAGAUCAUGUAUGAAUAUUGAAUGUGAAUGCAUGAACAUGUAAAACGAAUGCCAAACCAAGUAAAGCAUGUGCUAAAAUAAAUUGUAAAAUUGAAUAACUAAAUGACUAAUACGCUGAACACUUGGUCAUGGAAGCCUUAGCUGAUGUGGUCUAAAUACUAAAUUGAGACUGUGGCAGCCAACUACAAUCGACCUACCCCAAUCUGAGCAAAAUAAAGGUCGAGCUAGUAACCUCAGUUGGAUGGGUGUUAGUACCUUUCCAAGGGUACCAACACUAGCUGACGUGGAUCAACUAAACUGAUUUUCCAAAGGAUGAGGGUGUCAUGCCUCAACUGAUAGGGGAAACCUUAUAAUCUAUGGUCGUGUUGUAGUUCUGGAACUUAGGGACUCCUAAUAAUGACUCAUGCCUAAUCGAAGGGAGACCCACAAUCCCUGUGUUUUCUUGGUGCUAAGAAUUACUCCCAACUGAACAGACAUAAAAAUAAAAACUAGUGAUAUGCUGAUAACUGAUAUGAUCUAAUAUGGUAUUCUAAAAAUAACAAUGCAUGCAUAAUUGGAGGUAAUCAUGAACAUGUUAGCUGGUGUAUUUAGUAUGAUAUAAUACUGGUGAGUGCUAAUUACAAAAAUGUUACAAAUUUCAUUAUACAAACAUGAUAUGAAUAACUUGAAAUCAUGAAAACUGUAGCUGCAUGAUCAUCUAGGUAUCGGGUGUUCAUAAACCAUCAACAUUGAAAAAUAUAAUUAAAUACGAUAGUUUCAAAAUAAUGACAUACGAAGAAUUUUCAUGAUUUAAACUCAAGAAUCCAACAGUUUUAUCAAUGUAACAAAUUAUCAUGAAUAAUGUAUGGAAGAAUGCUUGAAUUUUUGAGGAAACUAUUCAUGGUUGAAUUCAAGAAUUACAUGGAGAAAUCAUGGAAUUUAUGUUUUUCAUGGAAACCUAGCUUUUGCAAUUCAUAAAAUUCUUGAAUUUAAGUCAUAAUUUCUAGCAUGAGGAUGAAAGGAGAUGCUCAUUAAAUACCCACAUACCUGAAUGUAGAAGCCUUGGAUAAAUUUCUUGGGAUUGAACUAGAACUUGAGCUUCAAAUUGAACUUGAAGAACUCUAGUUGGCUUUGGGGAGAAAGGAAUCACUUUCUUUUGCUUUGUGAUGAAUGAUUUCUGAGUUAUGAUAGGUUAGGGUAAUAUUUACACUUGAUAACUAUUGUUUGGAGGGUGAAACGACAUUGUUUUGGGGUCAAAAGAGUGGGAAAAGACCAAAAAACCCUUAGAAAUCGUCUAGAAGUUGCCUUGAAGUAGUCUCAAGGACUUAGGUCACGACUUGGAGGGUCUGGCCACAAGUCAUGAUUUGAGUCGUGAUUAGAAGUCCAAUUUCAUCCUCUACUACCCAUGUUACGACUCCUUCCUAACGACUCGUAGUCUAGGCAAUUUUGAUAGUGCUUUAGUAUUUUGUCCAUGACCUUUCACACCAAUAUUGAUUUAAGGAGAAAUUAGUAUAGUUGGAAAGCUAAUUCAAUUAUUUAUCUGUUGGUUGGUAUUGAACUAAAAAAUUAUUAGUAUACCAAAAGUUAUGCUCGUUUCAAAAUAACUAUAGUUAUAUAUAUCACAAGAAUUUAGUCGCUAAAGGAUGUUUUGACUUGUCUAUAAACUAGGAGAAAUUUGUGGCCUUAAUAUGUGUCUAAACGGCUAUAAAACUAUUAAAACAAGAGGCUUGAUUCUUAGAUCCUUUAUGGGUCAAGCUACGGAUCCACAAAAUAACUCGUAAUGUCUAACUGACUGCAAGUCCCUUCUAAUGAUUCGUAAUAUCCGGUUAUGAAUCAUGGAGUGGAGUCAUAGUCACUGGGCUUAAACUAAAGGUUUUUAUGUUAUGACUAUAAUUGCUAAUAAUGAAUCAUAAUGUCUGGUUAUGGUUAGUCAUGCAAGUUGUAGCCACUGGCAGUUGACUAACACUUAAAGGGAAAAUAACAAAACUUCUUGCCAUAAUAUAAGAUCGAGGCGAGACUUGAAGUGUUGGAAAGUCAACUUAGUGGCCUAACUUUUAAGGGGUUUAGAUCAUGAAAAAUCCAGGUUAUUACAAUAUCUCCUUCUUGGGAUCAUUCAUCCUCGAAUAAAGACAAACUUGGCUGAAAGGAUAGGGAUAGAGCUGCAAUCCUUGACCUAGAAUUCUAUGAGCUUAAUAUGGAAUUGAUGAGUAAAUAUUGAACUAAAACUUGACUAGUUUGAAGUUUAGGAACUCACUAGUACUACCCGUCUGAAUUCUAAAGUAGGAUAACUAACAUGAUACUAAUUUCAAAAUAUGGAAAUUUGUCAUGGUUGGGACUGAUUUAUACUUGGAGUAAGGAAUCAACUGAGUUCACAAUUAGCAUGAAUGCAAAUAAAUCAUCCCAUGAAAUAGGCAUACUCAUGAAACUUGAGAUAGUUUGACUAGAUAAAAAAUUGAAAUUGAUAGGAGCUUAUCUGUUUGAUUGCUAAACUGAAUUGCUGGCUAUAUGGAAUGACUAAUACCCAAAGCUUAUAACUUAACUAAAGUAUCCCUUCAACACUCCUUGUCAGAAGUUCUAAUAAUAUUCAGGGAAAAGGAUUUUUAGGCAUGAUCUGAGUAAGAUAUCUGAAUAAGGAAUCGCAACAUGGCUAUAACUUUAAAGCAUAGAAUAUAGGUAUAUUAAACAUAAGGUAGGAUAGAAUUACUAUGCCCUAGGUAAUGCAACUACUUACUUUCAAGUUUAGACAUAUAUCUCAAAUAAUCCCUCAAGUGUACUUUUUCUCUUAAAUAUUAACCUUCAUUUGAUACCACUUAUAAUCUUCACAAGGGCAUUGAUAACUCCAUCUACUAAAGUUUGAGCUGAACUAAAUUCUCCCACCUUGUUCGAGCCUACUUAAAGUCACAAGGUACCCCACAUAACACCAUAAGACUAGUCUGAAUCAUGAAUUCUACAUCCUAUGUGUUUUCACAGCUCUCACUCAAUAAUAAUGCUCCUUACCACUUCAACAACUAACUUCGACCUCUUACUGGGAAUUCACUAACUCACAAUGAAUUUAUACAUAUAUAUACCAACUUGACAUUCAAGCCUAUCAUUAUAACCACAUAUGACCUUCUAAGCAACUAAAACAAUUAGGAAUUUUUCCAUAUUCUCUAAUACCUCUAUCAAUAACAACUUGCUUCCAUUAUUACCAAGAAGACACCCCUAGAACUUUCAGCUAACUAUGACAUAUAACAUAUCUUGACUUCAAUCUUUCUUCACACUUAUAGCCUUAGAUAAAUCAAGCAUACAAUAAUCUUUCCCUAAUAAGAAAUAUUUACUCUCUACCAUCUAAACCAUUGUCAUCACCACUAUCAUUUAAUAGAGAGAGGUCACUAAAAGGUUAGAAUAGGAGGACCUGUAGCACGAAAAAGUACUAUAUGUAACUUUGACAUUUAACUGAGUCCUAAGGAAAAGAGUAUCAAAGGCAUGAAUUCAUUAAAGAGAUUAAAACUGAUAACAUAUAUGAAAUAAUCAGAAUUUUAUUGGUUAUUAAGGGUAUUCCAUGAGUUCUAGGAACUAAGCAUACUGUAAAUCAUGAGUACAUGAGUCAUGAGUUGCAUGACCUGAGAUUUGGAGUUCAUAAAUUCAUGGAAUAGGAAUAGUGCUUCUGAGUGACUUGGAAUUCCUUAUACUAAGAACUGGGAGCGUACAUGAUUCUAUAUAAAGUGCAUGAAUAUGAGCUAUGAACAUGAAGCUGACUUGUAAGGCAUGAGUAGGUGUCAUGAUGACUUAAUCAUAAAAAUUUGCACUGAGAUAAGGAUGGGUCAAGUAGCUUCCUCCCUACUAUUGUUCUAGAACUCACUAGCAUCACCACUAGAAUUUGAAAACUUGACUUGGUUCCUUGUUCUAUCAUCUCCCCCUUAGAUUUCAGCCAUUGUUCUAAGUCUACAGACCCCUUUAAUAAACUCUAAACCAAAUUGUAGCCACUCUACUCUAGAGUCUAAGAUAUAACAAUACACAUAAAUAAUAAACUCACCCUGAAAGACUAUAUCUUAAAGUGUAAACCCCAUUGCUAGUACUUUUUUCUAAGAUAAAACUCUUAAAUUUCUAUAGCCCCAAUAGUCAUCAUAUAAUAUCUUAAACACUUACUAACUUAGAAUCUUUAAGAGUAUCACCAUAACCUAAGUUCACACCAUAUAGAAUUUCAAACUCUUCAUUCCAUUAGCUUAAUAAUCCAAGAUUCAAACUUAGAUUCUAACACUUAACAUGGUUAUCCACAUAACUUCUCAUACACUAAUACCAACUUAUUACUACUAGAUAGAAAUCAUGAAACACUAAUCCACACAAAGUUUUAUGAACAUGCUCAACCUUAACAAGCUUAUCUAUCAUUGAAGUCACUUCCUAAUCUCCAUCUCAACAAAAGAAAUAACAUACUCUAAGUUUUUCUUACCCGAGAAACCUCUCUUAAAAUGAUAUUGAACAAACUACAUAACAUCUUUCUGGAUUCAUGGAUGGAUACUUUACUAAAUUUAGAUAAACAUUAUCCCCACCUUAUUGCUGCUAAAUUUAUAUGUUCAUGCUUCUAACUCUAGAUAAUAUGCUGUUAUAGGAUUUUGAGAGCGCAUUUGACUUUGGCUUAGUACACGAUUUUCAUAAAUAAAAAUAAAAUCUUUCAAACUUUGGAACUCAAAGUCAUUGAUGGGAUCCUUUUAAGCCCACCUGUAAUCCCUUAACUGUCUGUGGAGACUAUCUGAGAAAACUCCAUCGAUAAAAAUUUAAGCUUGGCCACUUCUAUUACCUCAAAAAUACAGAAGAGUUGGCACGAAUGGAGAAAUUUAAGAAUCUGUAUAAGUUUCUUAGAGAACAUCUCCACUGCAUGAUUUGAGAUUGAAAAGAAGGAAAACAUUUCUUAAAUGUUCUGUAGCCAUUUGAAAAAAAGUAUAGAUGUCUUCGUAUCAUUCUACAAGACUCUACUAGAAACGACUUUAUAGAUACCCUAGGACACUUGAACAAUGUACUCUGAUACCAAGUUUGUCAUGACCCAAGACUACCCCUAGUUCUAAUACAGUUCUUAGAACUAGAAGUGAUCCUAAAAUAACCCAUGUACUGGCAUGGUACUUUAGAAACUGAUAUAAUAUACAUAUAUAUAAAUGCUAAAUAACUGAGAGAAAGCAUAAUCAAUAUGAGACAAGUUGUUCCAAUACAUAACUGAUCAAAGUUUGCAACACAAAAAUUUAAGAGAGAGGAACUUAAAUUACAAAUUCUGACUCUGUCUAUCUAUCUAUGAAACCUGUACUAUACUAACUAUAGGUAGUCGGGAUAUGACCCACAACUACCCUAAAUUAGUACAUAAGAAUAAGAAAAAUGCAAUACAAGAACUGCAACUAAAUUGAGUCUUCUAAAUAAGGGAACUCAUCACUUAUUGGCUAAAUGUUGUGAACUGUCUGACCCUAGUGUGGGGGCUACAUCUGGUACUUAAAUUAUAAAUCAAUGUAUCUAAAAACACAUAUAUGUUGUCAGUACAUUGUAAUGUGCUGAGUAUGUGAGACAAGCACUAAAUCAUGGAAAUGCUUAAUGUAUACUUUAAAACUGAGGACAUCAGCUAUUUGCCUAAAUAUACAUUUAUAUCAUGGAUGUAUGUAAAAUCUGUACGACAUUGUGAAACUUAUAAUUCAUAAACGGAAAAUAUUUUUGUAAGUUGGGAAGUGGUAGAAAUAUGAAUACCAUAUGUAAAUAUCAAUUUAAAGCUGAAUAGGUUAUAAAAACUGUACUGAAUAUUAUGUAUGAAUACUGAGCGUGAAUGCAUGAACAUAUAAAAUAAAUGUAAAACCAAGUAAAGAAUGCACUAAAAUAAUCUAUAAAACUACAUAACUGAAUGACUAAUAAACUGAACACUUGGUUAUGUAAACCUGAGUUGAUGUGGUCUGAACACUAAACUAAGACUGUGGGAGCUAACUAAAACUGACAUACCUCAAUUUGAGCAAACCUGAGGUCCAAAUAGUAACCCUAAUUGGAUGGGUAUUUGUACCUUGCCAAGGGUACCGAUACUGGUUGGCGUGGAUCUACUAAACUGAUGUCCUAAAGGAUAAGGGUGACAUGCCUCUACUGACUGGGAACCCUUCAUAAUAUACGGUGGCUUCAUGGGUCUGGAACUUAGGGCCUGCUAUUAAUGACUCAUGCCUAGCUGGUGGGGAAUCCGCUAUCCAUGCGUUCGGUCAGUGCUUGAGUAUUAUUCCCAACUAAACUAAUACAGAAGCAUAAACUAGUGUAUGCACUAAUAACUAUAUUCUCAACUAUGGUAAUAAAAAAAUUACAUUGCAUGCAUAAUCUGAAGUAAUAAUGAACAUGUUUACUGAUGUAUUUAGCACGAUAUAAUACGGGUGAGUGCUCAUUGUGAAAAUGUUAUAAUUUCAUUGUAAAAACAUGAUAUGAAUAACUUGAAAUCUUUAAAAUUGUAGCAUGCAUGAUCAUCUAGGUAUCGGGUGUUCAUAACCCCUCAAUAUUAAAAAUACAAUUAAAUACGAUAAUUUCAAGUAAUGACAUGAGAAGAAAUUUCAUAACUUAAACUAAAGAAUCCAAUAAUUUCAUUAAUGUAAUGAAUUAUUAUGAUUAAAGUAUGGAAGAAUGCUUGAAUUUAUGAUGAAAAAAUUAUUCAUGGUUAAAUUCAAGAAUUACAUGGAGAGAUCAUGUAUGAAAGGAGAUACUCAUUGAAUACCCAGUUACCUGAAUGUAGAAGUGUUGGAUAAAUUUCUUGGGAUUGAACUUGAACUUGAAGAACCCUAGUUGGCUUUGGGAGAAAGGAAUCGCCUCUUUUUUGCUCUAUGAUGAAUGAUUUAUAAGUUAUGAUAGGUUAGGGUAAUAUUUACACUUAAUAAAUGUUGUUUUGGAGGGAAAAAUGACAUAUUUUUCUGUUAAAAGAGCGGUAAAAGAGCACAAAACCUCUUAAAAACCAUCUGGAAGUUGCUUGGAAGCAGUCCCAACGAAUUAGGUCACGACUCGUAGAGUCUGGCUAUAAGUCUUGUCUUGAGUCAUGGCCAGAAGUCCAAUUUCACCCUCUACUACACAGAUUAUAAUUCCCUCCUAAUAACUCAUAAUGAUACAUUAAGAGUCGUAGUCUGGGUACCAUUGAUAUUGCAUCAGUAUUUUGGCCUUAACUUUUCACUCCAAUAUCGGAUUAAGGUAAAAUUAGUAUCGUUGGAAAUCUUAUUCAAUCAUCUAUCUUUUGUUGCGUAUUGGGAUAAAAAUUAUUAAUAUACCAAAAUUUAUGAUCAUUUGAAAAUGACUAGAGUUAUAUAUAUCAUAAGAAGUUAAUUGCUAAGGGGUGUUGUAAUACCCUGACUAUUCUUAGCUUAAAUUUGUCCUUAGAAUGUUAAGGAAUAGCUUUCAAACUAAAGAAUAUUUAUUUCAUGUGGAAUUAUUUAGAUUUAGACUUUCCAUGUUGUGGAAAAUUGAAUAAGCUUUCCAUUGAUGCCAAAUUUGCCCAAUUCCGAUACUCGGUGAAGGAGUUAUGGCCUUUUAAAGUUGACAGUGUACCACUUGGAUAGUCACUGCAUCGCGGAGGUGGUUAAAUUCAAAAUUUUCAUUUUCCAGUGGACCUCUGCGAUAUUGGCGCAUUGUGGAUAGGUCCAUUUUCCCGUUUGUCAAUUUUCAGUAGUCCAACACUAUUGUGGCAUUUCGCAUUGAAGGUUAAAAUAGCAUUUCUAUAGGGCACCAUGAUGGUAGUGCAUCGCAUUGAAGUUCCAAGUCCCAAUUGUCAAAAUCUAGUGGGAUAACGCAAUAGCUUUGCAUUGCGGAGGCACCCAAUUUCCCAAUCGUUAAAUUCUAGUGAGCUACCACAAAAGUGGCGCGUCGCGGUGGCCCAUUAAAUUGGGACCCCAGUUACAUUUUUUCAGCUUCAUUUAGGAGUUUAAAAGGGGUAUUUUGGACAUUUCCCAAGCCCCCAAUCCAUACAAAACAAAAUAUUUAACAUAUCCUAAGGCAUUUUAUGCUUAUUUUAUCCACUCUUUCUAAAUAAAAAAACCCUAGACCAUCAAAGAUCCUUCUCCAAGAAAUCCAAAUUCUCCAUAGAUUCUCCAAGGAAGCUUUAAAUUGAGGAUUUCCAAGAUAAGGUAAUCUAGAACCCAUCAUCAAAAACUCUAUAGGAAUCCAAAUUUCAAGGUUCCUUCAUCUAAUCAUCCAGCAAAGUAUGUGGGGUUUAUGAACAAGGUUCUUCUUCCAUCCUUGUGCUCAAAACCAAGCCUUUACAUUAAAUUCAUAUGAUUUUGAAUGAUAUUACAUGAUUUUUGAAUUAGGGUUCAUACCCAUUAUGGCUAUUUACAAAGUUAUAAGUUUUUGAGAUAUUUUGAAGAUGAAUUACCUGCCUAUUUUCAUAUUUUCAUGCCUAUUGCAAUAAAUUAUAGAUUUUGAGAUGAAUUAUCAUUGUUUUUAUUAUCAAGCAUAAUUAUUAUGAUAUUUUGACAUGAGUUUGAUACAUAGGUUAUUCUACCCCAAGUUUAUAUGUUAAGAUUUUGAGAAAGAUGAUUCUUUAAGCAUCUUAUGAGCUGAUUAUUUCAUAUUUACAGUAAAUUCUUGAUCUUUUAAUCCUCAGAUGAGUUUUGGAAUCCACUUUUUAGAAUUUUUACAGAUUAUAGAAAGUAAAAUAGCUUUAGUUAUAGAUUUAUUCAAAUAAAUGCAUAACUGGUUUCAUAAUAAACCCUUAUGCGAGUUUUAAAGUGGAUCUCCACGAGAUGAGCGUAGCAAAUUAAAUGGAGUAGUAUUUAGCAUCGAGAUGGGUAUGAUUCCAAGGUCUCAUGCCAUAGAACUACGUGCCACUAUAGGAUUGAGAUUAGGUGCCUAUAGUGGGAAGAGUUGUGAUUACUUAGCUAAGGUUAUACUCCCUGCAAGAAUAUGACACCUCUCCCCAAUGUGAGGUUUCUUUUAUAGGAGGAUGAGACAUUGGAUUCCAUGUAGCUCCCAGGGUUUAUGUCAGUUAAAAGAUUCUCCCUGCUAAAAAAGUAACAGUUUUCAGAAUAGUUUUAAAGUAUUUCCUUUUAGAUAACAGAUAAAGUAUUCUCUUUAAUAGUAAAAGAAGUAUAGAAAAGCUUUUAGAAAAUUAAGUGUAAAGGCUCACAAGUUUUACUCAGAUUAUUCCUUAUAGAAAAGAUAAUAGCUACAAAUUUUAGAUUUCAGAUUUAGUAGUGAGUCCUUCUACACUUAGACAUAAUGAUUUAAAGAUAGAAUACAAGUAUAACUUUUAGAACUAAAUGAUAUGGCUGAAAAGAUUUAUAAAGUAUGUUUGCUUCUUAUUGCUACAUAUUUCAUUAUUUUAGAUAUUCCAGCUUAUGUGAGUCAUUUACAUUUAGGCUUGCGUUGUUUUAUAAAUGGUGACCAUGAGAUGAUUUUUUACUUAUGCAUAUCACCCCCAUAUACUUAGUAUAUCCUCAAAGUACUGAUCUAUAUAUACGUCUAUAUGCUACAUUAUCUCACAAUAUAGGUUCAGGUGCUCAGUGUCAGCAGCGUAAGUAGUUCGAGCAUCUCCAUCUAUAUUCGAUAGUUGUGAGUCCUCAUAGUUAGGGGACAUGUUCAUUCAUAUUUUGCAGUUUAUCAGUUUAUGAGAUUUAGCAUUUUCUUUCAAACAGUUUGAGUUAGCUUGGGGUUUGUCCCAGUGACUUUUUCAUAUUAGUAGUAGAGGCUAGUAGACUACUAGGUUUUAUGCAGAUUAUUUAGUUUUGUUGUUUUGGAUAUUAUGUUCAUAUAAUUAUCAGAAACCGUCUUCAAUAUGACUUUUAUUUCUAUAAUUCAAUUAGUAUAAGAUUUAGGCUCAAUAGUAUGCAGAAAGGGUUAGAUGAAUGCUACUCGUAGUCUUGAACACCAUGUGAUAUCUGGGGAUUAGAUUUUGAGGUGUUACAAACUUGGUAUUAGAGCCUACUAUUUUUAAGUAUCCUAGGGAGUUCGACAAGCUACGUUACGUAGAGUCUUGGUCAUGGGUGUGAAGCAUACCACAUUUAUGAACAAGAGUUUACAGAAUAUUCUUAGGAAAUUAUCUCUUUCUUUCAUGAUCUAUCGUGCUUACAAUAUCUCUAUCUAUUUUUCACUCGUGCUUUCACGUGAUAGUUAAAAAUGCCUCUUCAUCGAGCUAAUGCUCGUUGGAAAAUAACCAGCCACCUCAGCCCACCGAUUCUUUGAAUGAGAAUAUGUCAUGUGUAGAGUUUUGGGCUACCUUUUAGAAAGAUGAUUCUUUAAGCAUCUUAUGAGCUGAUUAUUUCAUAUUUACAGUAAAUUCUUGAUCUUUUAAUCCUCAGAUGAGUUUUGGAAUCCACUUUUUAGAAUUUUUACAGAUUAUAGAAAGUAAAAUAGCUUUAGUUAUAGAUUUAUUCAAAUAAAUGCAUAACUGGUUUCAUAAUAAACCCUUAUGCGAGUUUUAAAGUGGAUCUCCACGAGAUGAGCGUAGCAAAUUAAAUGGAGUAGUAUUUAGCAUCGAGAUGGGUAUGAUUCCAAGGUCUCAUGCCAUAGAACUACGUGCCACUAUAGGAUUGAGAUUAGGUGCCUAUAGUGGGAAGAGUUGUGAUUACUUAGCUAAGGUUAUACUCCCUGCAAGAAUAUGACACCUCUCCCCAAUGUGAGGUUUCUUUUAUAGGAGGAUGAGACAUUGGAUUCCAUGUAGCUCCCAGGGUUUAUGUCAGUUAAAAGAUUCUCCCUGCUAAAAAAGUAACAGUUUUCAGAAUAGUUUUAAAGUAUUUCCUUUUAGAUAACAGAUAAAGUAUUCUCUUUAAUAGUAAAAGAAGUAUAGAAAAGCUUUUAGAAAAUUAAGUGUAAAGGCUCACAAGUUUUACUCAGAUUAUUCCUUAUAGAAAAGAUAAUAGCUACAAAUUUUAGAUUUCAGAUUUAGUAGUGAGUCCUUCUACACUUAGACAUAAUGAUUUAAAGAUAGAAUACAAGUAUAACUUUUAGAACUAAAUGAUAUGGCUGAAAAGAUUUAUAAAGUAUGUUUGCUUCUUAUUGCUACAUAUUUCAUUAUUUUAGAUAUUCCAGCUUAUGUGAGUCAUUUACAUUUAGGCUUGCGUUGUUUUAUAAAUGGUGACCAUGAGAUGAUUUUUUACUUAUGCAUAUCACCCCCAUAUACUUAGUAUAUCCUCAAAGUACUGAUCUAUAUAUACGUCUAUAUGCUACAUUAUCUCACAAUAUAGGUUCAGGUGCUCAGUGUCAGCAGCGUAAGUAGUUCGAGCAUCUCCAUCUAUAUUCGAUAGUUGUGAGUCCUCAUAGUUAGGGGACAUGUUCAUUCAUAUUUUGCAGUUUAUCAGUUUAUGAGAUUUAGCAUUUUCUUUCAAACAGUUUGAGUUAGCUUGGGGUUUGUCCCAGUGACUUUUUCAUAUUAGUAGUAGAGGCUAGUAGACUACUAGGUUUUAUGCAGAUUAUUUAGUUUUGUUGUUUUGGAUAUUAUGUUCAUAUAAUUAUCAGAAACCGUCUUCAAUAUGACUUUUAUUUCUAUAAUUCAAUUAGUAUAAGAUUUAGGCUCAAUAGUAUGCAGAAAGGGUUAGAUGAAUGCUACUCGUAGUCUUGAACACCAUGUGAUAUCUGGGGAUUAGAUUUUGAGGUGUUACAAACUUGGUAUUAGAGCCUACUAUUUUUAAGUAUCCUAGGGAGUUCGACAAGCUACGUUACGUAGAGUCUUGGUCAUGGGUGUGAAGCAUACCACAUUUAUGAACAAGAGUUUACAGAAUAUUCUUAGGAAAUUAUCUCUUUCUUUCAUGAUCUAUCGUGCUUACAAUAUCUCUAUCUAUUUUUCACUCGUGCUUUCACGUGAUAGUUAAAAAUGCCUCUUCAUCGAGCUAAUGCUCGUUGGAAAAUAACCAGCCACCUCAGCCCACCGAUUCUUUGAAUGAGAAUAUGUCAUGUGUAGAGUUUUGGGCUACCUUUUAGGCACUAGCCCAAGCUGUGACAGCUAAUGUUCAGGGCAACCAUUAAGAUACAGUUCUACCUCAGCAAGAUGGGGACUUAGCCGCAGCUAAAAUAUGAGAUUUUAUGAGAAUGAACCUACUAGAGUUCUUUGGGUCAAAGGUAGAUGAGGACCCACAAUUGUAUCUUGAUGAGGUGAAGAAGAUCAUCCAAAUUAUGUAUGUUUCUGAAAAGGAGAAUGUAGAAUUGGCAUCCUAUAGGCUGAAGAAUAAAAGAAGAGUAGAGGGGAGAAUGCAGCUCCCAUGACUUGGCAGAUAUUUCAAGAUGCGUUUCUAGAUAAGUUAUUCCCACAUGAGAUGAGGAAAGCUAAGAUAGUAGAGUUUAUGAACCUGAGACAGGGCUGGAUGAUAGUGAAAUAGUAUUGGCUCAAGUUCAACUAGUUGUCUAAGUAUCCCCUUGAUUAGAUGGCUAAACCUAGGUCAAGCAUGACUAAGCUCAUGAUUGGAGUGUCUAGAUUAGUGGUCAAAGAGUGUAGGACUACCAUGCUUAUUAGAGACAUGGAUCUUGCUAGAUUGAUAAUGCAUGCUUAGAAGAUUAAGGUAGCGAAGUUAAAGGAAAGUGAGAGGGGAAAUAAGAAGGCUAAAAUAGGGAAAUUUGAUUAUGGUCAGAAUAGGUCUAGAGGAGAAAAUCAGUUACAGUUUCAGAAUUAGUCAUCCAUACCAACACCAUCUUCAUCUAGUGCUCUUGCUCCCAAAGGUAGAUAGGAGCAGUGGAGUAAGUCCUCUAUGUCUAGAUCUCAAAUAGUAUAAGUGGGAGAUCUCAUUACCCUUCUCAUACUAAGUGUGGUAGGAGUCAUCCCACAAAGUGCUUGGCUGGAUAGAAGGUUUGUUUUUGUUGUGGAAAGUCGGGUCACAAAAUUAAAGAUUGCUUUCAUGCUAAUCAGGAAAAUAGAGAUGUUCGUCCCCAGACUCAGGCUACUAGUACUCUAGCUCCUUUAGGUCGCCCAGUUCCUUCUUUGAAUGAGAAUAUGUCAUGUGUAGAGUUUUGGGCUACCUUUUAGGCACUAGCCCAAGCUGUGACAGCUAAUGUUCAGGGCAACCAUUAAGAUACAGUUCUACCUCAGCAAGAUGGGGACUUAGCCGCAGCUAAAAUAUGAGAUUUUAUGAGAAUGAACCUACUAGAGUUCUUUGGGUCAAAGGUAGAUGAGGACCCACAAUUGUAUCUUGAUGAGGUGAAGAAGAUCAUCCAAAUUAUGUAUGUUUCUGAAAAGGAGAAUGUAGAAUUGGCAUCCUAUAGGCUGAAGAAUAAAAGAAGAGUAGAGGGGAGAAUGCAGCUCCCAUGACUUGGCAGAUAUUUCAAGAUGCGUUUCUAGAUAAGUUAUUCCCACAUGAGAUGAGGAAAGCUAAGAUAGUAGAGUUUAUGAACCUGAGACAGGGCUGGAUGAUAGUGAAAUAGUAUUGGCUCAAGUUCAACUAGUUGUCUAAGUAUCCCCUUGAUUAGAUGGCUAAACCUAGGUCAAGCAUGACUAAGCUCAUGAUUGGAGUGUCUAGAUUAGUGGUCAAAGAGUGUAGGACUACCAUGCUUAUUAGAGACAUGGAUCUUGCUAGAUUGAUAAUGCAUGCUUAGAAGAUUAAGGUAGCGAAGUUAAAGGAAAGUGAGAGGGGAAAUAAGAAGGCUAAAAUAGGGAAAUUUGAUUAUGGUCAGAAUAGGUCUAGAGGAGAAAAUCAGUUACAGUUUCAGAAUUAGUCAUCCAUACCAACACCAUCUUCAUCUAGUGCUCUUGCUCCCAAAGGUAGAUAGGAGCAGUGGAGUAAGUCCUCUAUGUCUAGAUCUCAAAUAGUAUAAGUGGGAGAUCUCAUUACCCUUCUCAUACUAAGUGUGGUAGGAGUCAUCCCACAAAGUGCUUGGCUGGAUAGAAGGUUUGUUUUUGUUGUGGAAAGUCGGGUCACAAAAUUAAAGAUUGCUUUCAUGCUAAUCAGGAAAAUAGAGAUGUUCGUCCCCAGACUCAGGCUACUAGUACUCUAGCUCCUUUAGGUCGCCCAGUUCCUCCUCAAGGUGCAUCAUCCAGUACCAAUGACUGUUAUUUCCAGAAUUGAUUAUAUGCUUUACCAUCUCACUAGAGCAGGAAGAUUCACCAGAUUUGGUUACGGGUAUACUUCGUGUCUUUUAUCUUGAUAUUUAUGUGUUGUUAGACCCGGGGUUUAGUUUCUCUUAUGUGACCCCAUUAGUUACAGUAAAUUUUGAGAUAAGUUUUGAAAAGAUCUCUGAGCCUUUCUUGGUUUCUACUCCAGUAGGUGAAUCAGUUAUAGCUAAACAGAUUUAUAAAAAGUGUCCUAUCACUGUACUCUAUAAAAUUAUGUUAGCAGACUUAAUAGAGUUAAGUAUGGUUGACUUUGAUCUCAUUCUUAGUAUGGAUUGGCUCUAUUCCUGUUAUGCCUCUAUAGAUUGUCGUACUCGUGAGGUGAAGUUUCAGUUCUCAGAUGAGCUAGUAUUUGAGUGGUCAGGUAAUUCGUCUCUGCCAAAAGCCAUUUCAUAUCUUAUAUUAAAGUCAAAAAGUUGAUUUCCAAAGGAUGUAUCAAUAAUCUCGCUUGAGUUAAGGAUACUAAGCCUGAGCCUCCAAUAACUUGGUCAGUCAGUGUAGUUAAUGAGUUUCCUGAUGUCUUUCCCAAAGAUCUCCCAGGGGUACCUCCCGAUAGAGAGAUAGAAUUCAGAAUCGACCUUUUUUUUGAUACUUAGCCUAUUUUUAUACCUUCAAAUCAUAUGGCUCCUGCUGAGCUUAAGGAGAUGAAAGAGCAACUCAAAGAUCUAGUAGAUAAAGGUUUCAUAAGGCCUAGUGUUUCUCCAUGGGGCGCUCCCGUCCUAUUCGUAUGAAAGAAAUAUUGUUCUUUGCAAAUGUGCAUUGGCUAUCUUCAGCUAAAUAAAGUCACUGUCAAGAACAAAUAUCCUUUUCCUAGAAUCGAUGACCUAUUUGAUCAACUCCAAGGUGUGAAUUAUUUAUUUAAGAUAGACCUUAGAUCCAACUAUCAUCAGCUUAAAGUAAGGGAAUGUGAUAUUCCAAAGACAGCUUUCAGAACCCAUUAUGGUCAUUUUGAGUUUUUAGUCAUGUCUUUUGGGGUAACCAAUGCUCCAACAUCUUUCACGGACCUCAUUAACCGAGUGUUCAAAUAGUAUCUAGACAUAUUUGUCAUAGUAUUAAUAGAUGAUAUCCUUGUGUACUCCUGUUGUAAGGAUGACCAUGUAGAUCAUCUUAGAAUUGUCUUGCAAACUCUUAGAGAUCAUUAAUUAUUUGCCAAAUUCAGCAAGUGUGAAUUCUGGCUAAGAUCAGUAGCCUUUCUCGGUCAUAUUAUUGCCAUCUAUGGUAUUAGAGUCGAUCCCCAAAAGACGAAAGUCGUAAGAAAUUUGCCUAUACCUAUCUGUCUGUCAGACAUUAGGAGUUUCUUGGUCUAGCUGGUUAUUACAGACUUUUUUUGAAUAUUUCUCGUCUAUUGCAUCCCUGAUGUCUAUAGUGACCCAAAAGAAAGUUAAGUUCUAGUGGACAGAUUCCUACGAGAAGAGUUUUUAGGAGUUGAAGACUCGACUCACUUCAGCCCCAAUCUUAGUGUUACCCAAUAGUAUAAAUGAUUUUAUUGUGUAUUGUGAUGCCUAUAGAGUUUGUUUGGGUUGUGUAUUACCGCAGAGAGGUAAGGUUAUAGCUUAUGCCUCUAGACAACUUAAGCGUUAUGAAAAUAAUUACCCAACCCAUGAUCUUGAAUUAGCUUCUGUGGUGUUUGCUUUGAUAAUUUGGAGACACUACCUGUAUGGUGUGUACGUUGAUGUGUUCAUGACCACAAAACCUUGCAGUAUGUGUUUUCCCAGAGGGUGUUGAAUCUAUGUCAGAGGAGGUGGUUAGAAUUGCUGAAAGAUUAUGAUGUGAGUGUGUUGUACCAUCUGGGAAAGGCCAAUGUAGUGGCAGACGCCCUUAGUAGAUUGUCUAUGGGCAGGGUGGCUCAUGUAGAGAACAAUAAGAAAGAGUUAGCUCAAGAAGUUUAUUGAUUAGUUAGAUUUGGUGUUAGGUUGGUUAAUUCAGCUGAGGGGAAUGUUUGGGUUUAGAGUAGUUCCGAAUCUUCCCUAGUUUCGAAAGUGAAGGAGAAGCAAGACUAGAUCCUAGUUUGGUCAAAUUGAAGUAGUCGAUUAAAGAUCAAAAGGUAGAGGUUUUUUCCCAAGGGGGAGAUGGCAUUUUGAGAUACCAAAGUAGAUUGUGUGUUCCUUAUGUUGAUGAUUUGAGGUAGCGGAUCAUGGCGGAAGCACAUGGUACGCGUUAUUCCAUUCAUCUAGGUGCUACUAAGUUAUACCACAACUUGGGAUAAAUCUAUUGGUGGAGUGGUAUGAAGAGAGAUAUAGCAGAUUUUGUAGCCAAGUGUGUAACUUGUCAAUAGGCUAAGGUAGAGAACCAAAGACCUGGUAGUACGUUGCAAGAGUUUUGUAUCCCCACUUGAAAGUGGGAAGAGGUGAAUAUGGAUUUUGUGACUGGUUUACCCCAUUUGCGUUAUCAUCAUGAUUCGGUUUGGGUUAUUAUAGACAGGUUGACUAAGUCAGUGUAUUUAUUUCCAGUUCAUAUGUAUUAUAUAGCUGAGGAUUAUGCUAAGUUGUAUAUCUGAGAGUUAGUCAGAUUGCAUCGAGUUCCCUUGUCUAUCAUCUUAGAUAGGGGUACUCAGUUUACCUUUUAGUUCUAGAGAGCAUUUUAGAAGGGUCUUGGUACCCAAGUUCAUCUUAGUUUAGAUUUUUAUCCACAGACAGAUGGCCAGGUGAGAGGACCAUCCAAACCUUAGAGAAUAUGUUGAGAGCUUGUGUUCUUGAUUUCAAAGGUAGUUGGGAUGAGCAUUUGCUAUUGAUUGAGUUCGCCUAUAAUAAUAGUUAUCAUGCUAGUAUUUUGAUGGCUCCGUUUGAGGCUCUUUAUGGCCAGGGAUGUAGAUCGCCAAUUGGUUGGUUUGAAGUGGGUGAUCCCUCUUUGAUUGGGACAAACGUAGUGUUUGAAUCCAUGGAGAAAGUUCAGUUAAUUAGAGAAAGAUUGAAAGCAACCCAGAGUGGUCAAAAAUCCUAUGCAAACGUAAGAAGAAGAGAUUUUGAGUUUGAGGUUGGUGAUUUAGUGUAUCUGAAGAUUUCACCUAUGAAAGGAUUGAAGAGAUUUGUCAAGAAGGGGAAGCUUAGUCCCCGAUAUGUUGGCCCUUUCAACAUUUUGAGGCAAGUUAGGAAAGUAGCUUAUGUGCUUGAGUUGCCCGCAGACUUGACUGUCGUUCAUUUUGUAUUCCAUGUCUCUAUGCUUAAGAAGUGCAUCAGUGACUCCACCGUUAUCGUUCCUUUAGAAAGAUCAGAUAUUUAGAAUAACCUUUCUUAUGAAGAAGUCCCAAUAGAGAUUCUUGAUUAUCAGAUUCGUAGACUAAGGAACAAAGAAGUUCCCUUGGUCAAAGUUCUGUGGCAAAAUUAGUCCAUUGAGGGCGCUACUUGGGAAGCAGAAGCAUACAUGCUACCAAGUAUCCUCAUCUCUUCUCCAUAAACUCAGAUUCAACCGAAGGUAAUAGUUUUCCUUCAUUCAAUCUUUUACCACUCUCAGAUUCAGUUAUACAGUUAUUUUCAUGAGAAUUCUUGCACUUACAGAUCCAUUCAAUAGCUCAUUAUAUUUGAGAUUCAUACAUUCAAUUUAUUUCGGUUGUGCAUGAUAGCUUAUAGCUUCUGAUCCAUCAAUAUUUUCAGCUUAAUUAGCCACAUUCGAGGAUGAAUGUUCCCCAGGGGGAGAUAUUGUAAUGCCCAAUACUCUUCUUAGCUUAAAUUUAUUCUUAGAAUGUUAAGGGAUAGCUACCAAACUGAAGAAUAUUUAUUCAUGUGGUAUACUUUAGAUUUAGACUUUCCAUGUUGUGGGAAAUUGAAUAAGAUUUCCACUGAUAUCAAAUUAGCCCAAUUUAGACACUCGGUGAAUGAGUUAUGGCCUUUUUAAGUUGACAGUGUACCGCUUGGAUAGUCACCGCAUCGUGGAGGUGGUUAAAUUCAUUAUUGUCAUUUUCCAGUGGACCUCUGCAAUAUUGGUACAUCACUGAGCGGUCCAUUUUCCUAUUUGUCAAUUUCUAGUAGUCCAACACUAUUGUGGUACAAUAUGCCGAAGGUCAAAAUGGCAUUUCUAUAGGGCACCACGAUGGUAGCGCAUCACGUUGAAGUUCCAGGUCCCAAUUGUCAAAAUCCAGUGGGACAACAUGAUAGCUUUGUGUUACGGAGGCACCCAAUUUCCCAAUCAUCAAAUUCCAGUGAGCCACCAUGAUAGUGGCAUGUCACGGUGGCCCAUUAAAUCGGGACCCUAGUUAUGUUUUUUAGCUUCGUUUAGGAGUUUAAAAGAGGUAUUUUGGACUCUUCCCAAGCUCUCUAUCCAUCUAAAACACAAAAUUUAACAUAUCCUAAGGCCUUUUAUGCUUAUUUGAUCCACUUUUUCUCAAAAGAAAAUCCUAGACCACUCUUUCAGAUUUUCCAGUUUAUCAAUUUAUGAGAUUUAGCAUUUCCUUUCAGACAGUUCGAGUUAGAUGGGGGUUUGUCUGAGUGACUCUUUAGUAUUAGUAGUAGAGGCUUUUAACACUACUAGUUUUGAUGCAGAUUAUUUCUUUUUGAUGUUUCAGAUAUUAUGUUCAAAUUAUUCUCAGAUAUUAUAGACAAUUUUCGCAUUCAGUAUGACUUUUAUGUCUAGAAUUCCAUUAUUAUAAGAUUUAGGCUCAAUAGUAUGCAAACAGGGUUAGAUUAAGGCUACUCGUAGUCUUGAGCACCGUGUGACAUCUCGGAAUUAGAUUUCAGGGUGCUACAGGUGUUUUGACUCGUACAUAUGCUAGGGGAAAUUUUUGACCUUAAUAUGUUUCUAAAUCACUAUAAAACUAUCAAAAAAUAAGUCUUGAUUCUUAGAUGCUUUAUGGGUCAGACUAGGGUCCUCACAACGAUUUGUAAGUCUAUCUACUAGUCAUGUAUUAGACUCGUUACUAUGGGAAUAGAUUCUUGGUUGAACAUUGUUGUGACUACGAGUCCCUCCUAAUGACUCGAAAUGUAUGAUUAUGAAUCAUGAAGUGGAGUCAUGGUCACUGUGCUUAGACUGAAGGUUCUUUCAGUUAUGAAUACAACUUCCCAUAAUGAUAUCUAAUGUCUAGUUAUGUGUCAUCACAUAAGUUGUAGCCACUGGCAGUUGGCUGACACUUAAAGGGAAAAUUGCAUAACUUCUUGGCAUGCUAUCAGAUCGAGGUGAGACUUGCGACUUUGAAAAGCCAACUUAGUGGCCUAUAUUUUGAUGGGUUUAGAGCUUGAAAAAUUUAGGGUAUUACACUUUAUUCUAACCUUAACUAUCUGUUCAAAUUCUCCUCUUUGUUAGUUAAGUCUUCUGAAUUUGUUUCAAAGCUGGCAACUUAUUUGAUAGAUAAAAGGUUCUUCACUAGUUAACUUACCCUUUUAGCUAUAUCUAUCACCACCUGCAGAUUCAUUAUAGUCAGUAUCUAGCUAAUUCUAUUUCCUAAUUUAACAAGUUCAGGAAUUUCUGGUCUCUUCCACCUUUUUUUUUAUUUUACAAUUUCCUCCGUAAGACCUCUUAACUCUUCAUCCACAUAUUCAUACAAAUUACUCCAACCUUUAUAUUUUCAUUAGUUGAUUCAAUAUCUAAAUCUAGAUCAUAUUCAGCCCUACUAGUGUCACUUUUAAUAUGUGAAGAUUUACUGGUUGUAGGAGCAGUAGAAGGAGGGAGAUGAGUAGCAAGACCAAGGACAUGGGCGGAAGGAGAAGUUAGAGGAGGAGUAAGAGAAGCAGAAGGACAAACAAUAUAACAAGUAGGAGUAUUAGGUUGGACCAUAGGAGGGGUAUUUAGAUAUUCUAAAGAUUAGGAGAUAGAAGUGGUAUUUAGAUCUACAGAAGUUUGGUUAAUAUGAAGGGUAUAUUUACUAUUUUUUAUGCUCUCUCAGCAAUCCCAAUGUCUUGGUAGUUGUCUUUAUCAAAUGACACACCACUUUCCCCGCCAUAUGACUUGCAUAUUCCAAUAAAGAUGGGGGCCAAAAGUGUGUCAGCAACCAUAUGAUACACAAAAAUGUCAUAAAUGUCCCCAUUUUUAAAACAAUGGGAUAUUCCAAUUGUGCCCUAAUCAAAUUUAAUUUCUAUUAAAAUAGAAAUUUUGGUAGUCUCAUAUAUAGUAAGCAUUGUCCAGGGUCAUAUCCUAAAUACUUUACAUAGUCUCUAAAUUUAAAAUAAAACAACCUUUCUACAUGUGUAUUAAAAAAUUCAGUAAUUUGUCCACCAACAUAUGUUUUUCCUUUUUUCCCCUUCCACUUUCCCUUUCCUUUUCCUUGUUAAGAACCCCACCAUUAUAAACUCUCAAAGUGAUUAGUUCAAAACUUGUUCUAAUAACCUGAAAGUAGUAUAAAAAAGACAAUUUAAUAAUUAGUGACCACAGAAACAUUGUAAAGUAAGAUUCUUGACAACGACCAAAAUAAUAUCGCACACCACACAAAUAAUAUAUUAUGAUACAAUUAAUGUAUCACAACUUAAUUUAUUGCAUAUAGAAGCAUAAACCCAAUCAUUAAUACAUUAAUUUUUAAAAUAAAUUAAAGAUGACAAAAAAUCCUAGCUCAAAUCACAAGAAAAUAACAUAUUAUGCUACAAUUAUAAGUGUCACAACUUUGUUUAUUACAUAUUGAAGCAUAUACAAAAUAAUUAAAACAUUAAUUUAAAAACAAAUUAGACGAAAAAAUAUCCUACCUCAAAUUGCAAGAAAUAACUAAUUGUUAAACUACUGAGACAUGGAGCUAAUUUUUAAAUAAAACCCCUAGCUAAAUUCAGAAGAUUGUAACCCUAACUUUGAAACAAAUUUGAAAUUAACUUGUAACCUUUGAAAUUUAUAGUAACGUUAGCUUCUAAUUAGGAAGAAAAAUAGAGGUAGGUUUAAGGUUUUAGGACCAAUGGAGGUUGGGUUUUUUAUUGUGAAAAAAAAACACCAAGAAAAUUUAAGGAUCGUCUCUUCCAUUGUGUUGCUUAGAUGAUUUAGAUUUUGUUCUUAAAUCAUACUAGGUUUAGGUUUUGUAUUUUGUUUAGUGUCGAUUGAUAUUCUAUCAGGUUGGGUUGGGUCAGGUGAAAUAAAAUGGGUUGGGGCUAAUUUAAAUGGGUAUGAAUUAAUUUAAUGGGUUGGGUAAUAAUUUAAAAAAAUUAUGUUUAUUAAACACAUGUCAUCACCAGAGAGCAUGUGUCCUCUACCAUACUCAUUAACUUUGGGCAUGGGUAUUGCGGGAGUACAUAAAUUAAAUUUUAUAUAUUACAAGUGUUUAAUAGGUCACUCCAAUAUUUUAAGAAUGUCUUCAACUUUUUGGGUAUAGUUUAGGACGGUUUGGAUGUCUUUUAUUAAGUAAUGUGCUAAUGCUAGUCUUGUUAAGUAGUAAUGGCUAAUAUCGGAUUGUGUAAUAAGUGUGCAUAAAAUAUCUCAUGAGAUAUCCCUGAUUUAGGUAGUGCACGAAUUAGUAUUGUAAUUAGUGAUUUAAUAUUGGAAUGAUAAAUAAGCUACCUUGAUGUUUUCGAAUAAAUAUAUGCCAAUGGAUCAUAGAUCGUGUAGGUGAUCGAUGUCAAGUUAAGAUUGGUGAGUAAGGAAGAGAGUGGUGAUCUAGAAGUGGUUAAGAGAUCACGUUGAAUUGUUAUUUUAUAAGUGAAUGUUUAAUUUUGGAUAUUUUUAUGGUGUUUAUGAGUUUUAACCUAGGUUGGUUGAUAAUGCUUAGCAAUACAUGUGAUUGUACUGAUGUUACUCUUAUUACACCCUUUUUAGGGUAUAGCCUACUGCGAGAUUAGUUCCUAUUUCAUUUUUUGAUGUGGAUACAGAUCUUCAGCAGUGUCACGAUCCAAUUUCUUAGGUUAUGAUAGCGCCAACUAUGGCCUAACAUUAGGUAAGCCAACUUUGAAGCCGUUGGUAACGGAAUAUCAAGAAAAAUUAAAGGAAAUAGAAAAAUAAAUAUGAUGAAAAGAAUAACAUAUAUAAAACAACCCCACGACCUGAUGAAGUUAGUACAAGAGUUUCUAAUAUAAUAAGAGUGAAAAGUUAAAUAUUGAAUAAAUAUACAUGCACAACCCAUAAGAGAUAGAGUAUUAAUGCUCCGAAUAUCAGGAGCUCACCCCAUAUCUUUGAUCUGUAGUAGCUUCACAUGAUGCACACACCAACAACGAGAAUUCGUACUAUGAUCUGCAGGCGAAAAAAUGUAGUAUGAGACCAAAUACGUAGUACUCAGUAGGCAACUUUUGACUGAGCACCAAAGAUAAUGCAAGUAUAACUAACAUAUAAGCAAGAAUAUAAACUACAAGAAACUAUCCAGAAAGCUAACAUAGUAAAGCUAGAGAGGCAAUAAGGAUAAACUAUCCUACUCUAGCGGUAUUUAAGAACUAAAGUACCAUACCAUAUAUCACUAGCCAAUAAAUAAUUAAAGAGUGCAAGAAGGUUAUAUGUAUUAGUAGACAAGGGUCAAGAAAUACAUAUACAGUAUGAAUAAACAAGGAUAGAGAGGGAUAUAUGAAAAUACCAUACCUAUAUAUAUAUAUAUAUAUAUAUAUAUAUAUAUAUAUAUAUAUAUAUAUAUAUAUAAAAAAAACACACAGAGAGAACACAACACCACCANNNNNNNNNNNNNNNNNNNNNNNNNNNNNNNNNNNNNNNNNNNNNNNNNNNNNNNNNNNNNNNNNNNNNNNNNNNNNNNNNNNNNNNNNNNNNNNNNNNNNNNNNNNNNNNNNNNNNNNNNNNNNNNNNNNNNNNNNNNNNNNNNNNNNNNNNNNNNNNNNNNNNNNNNNNNNNNNNNNNNNNNNNNNNNNNNNNNNNNNNNNNNNNNNNNNNNNNNNNNNNNNNNNNNNNNNNNNNNNNNNNNNNNNNNNNNNNNNNNNNNNNNNNNNNNNNNNNNNNNNNNNNNNNNNNNNNNNNNNNNNNNNNNNNNNNNNNNNNNNNNNNNNNNNNNNNNNNNNNNNNNNNNNNNNNNNNNNNNNNNNNNNNNNNNNNNNNNNNNNNNNNNNNNNNNNNNNNNNNNNNNNNNNNNNNNNNNNNNNNNNNNNNNNNNNNNNNNNNNNNNNNNNNNNNNNNNNNNNNNNNNNNNNNNNNNNNNNNNNNNNNNNNNNNNNNNNNNNNNNNNNNNNNNNNNNNNNUAUAGGUAUACAAGACUAACCCAUAGGUAGCCAACCUAACCACUCCAGGAAAACCUUGUUAGCCUCCAAAGUCUAUAUUUUAAUAAUGACAAACUAACAAGUGGAUCCUUGUAGGAUAUUGAAGACCACUAAUAAAGGAAGCCGACUCUAGGAAUGGAAGGACAUCUAAGCAUAAGAAUAUCACAACACUCAAACAAGCAUGACAAGAAAAUUAAUCAAAUAUAUUUGAAAUGACCAUCCCAGAAUCAUACCAGACUGGAUCAAUCAGAAAAUCAAUUAAGAUCUAAACCAAAGGAAGGAAGGCCAAAACCGUUACAUGGACAUUAAUCUAUACAAGAAUAAAAGGAUAUAUCUAACAUGGAUGUGAUCCAAAGCCGUAUAUGGAUGUAUCUAAUACAGACCUAUCAAACGGCUAUAUUCCUCAAUCAAGAAAUCAAUUUAAAUCCUUGAUUGAGAAGAAAUAUCUUGAGUUUACUUGUUAAGAGUAGAAGCUGAAGACUAUAAAUGCUGAGGGCUAAAGACAGACACAAGUUACAAAACUUCAAGGAGAAAAUUCAAAGUGUCUCAUUCUUAGUCUUACAAGGCUUUGUAACUUUUAGUUUACAAUUGUUACAUAAGGAGUAGGAUCGAGUCAAGUUUGUAACAUCAACUGAAGCUGUGUUAUAAGAUAUGAAGAGCAUAAUAAGUCUUUAAAACUAGUUUUCUAUCAUUGUACUCGUACCCAACAUUCAACGAUCUAAGAAAAUUUUGAAACCCAAGGGGACUGGAAGUAGGCACCACAUUGGUGUUCCAAACCAGGAUAAAUUUUGUGUUAUUACUUUACGUUCUAUUAUUUACAUGCUUAAUUAUUUAAGUCUAAUCUAUUUGUAAAGUGCAUUGAUAUGCAGGCGAGUUGAUUGUGAGGAGUCAGUGGCCGACUCACAGAAGAAAAUUUCAAUUCACCCCCUCUUGAAUUUUAUUUGGUAUUAGAGCGAGGUCUCACAAACUGCAUUGCUUAACCACAAAUGAGCAAACUUAAUAUGACAAAUAAUCAGAUUCUCGGUGAUCUUCUCUAGGAUGGUCAUUGCUCCACAAGACCACCAUAUUUUAAUGGGUGACAUUACUCUAACUGGAAAAAGAGGUUCGGAAUUUUUAUUCAAUCAAAUGACUUCCAAGCUUGGGUUGUCAUCAGGAAGUGUCCAAAGCCAAUUCCGGGACUUAAAGAAAAGUCAAAGGACAAAGACAUGGAAUCUAGUAGUAUUGACUUGAAAGACCUUGAAACCUUUGAGGUCACUAAAGAACAACAAGAGGUAAUUCAAACUAAUGCACGUGCUAUAAGUUUAAUUUUGUGUGCUGUUAGAAGAGAAAAAUAUGACAAUAUAUUAACUUGUGAAACCACAAAAUAAAUGUCGAACAAAUUGGAGGUAACCUAUAAAGGAACCACCAAGGUCAAAAUGUCAAAGAUUACUGCUCUGAUCAAUAAAUAUGAGCUAUUCAAAAUUGAAGAAAAUGAGGACAUUGAAUUAAUGUUUUCUAGAUUUAUUAAAAUCAUCUACGAACUGAAAUCACUGGGGAUAAUCUAUCCACACAGCCUGUAAGUCCAUAAGCUAGUUAGAAGUCCCCCAAAGACUUGGGAAACCAAGGCUACCAUUUUGGAAGACAGAGAUCUUCACAAUAUAUUUUUGACAAAUGACGAACUAUGAGGUAACCUUAUUACAUAUGAGAAAAAUUAUAUCAACAAGUUUCACAAGGAUGAAAAGAACAAACCAGUAGUCUUCAACGCUGCUCCAAAUGGAGAGAAGGACAUUCUGGAAGAUGCUUAUAGUGAAGGAUUGGCCCUCAUCAAUCAUAGGGUAAGGUAGAUCAUGAGACAAAGGCAGCAAAGAUCCUAAGGAGGAAAAAAUAAUAACCCCACCAGAAACAAUGAUCUCUGUUACUACUGUAGAAGGCCUGGUUAUUUCAAACAAAAUUUUCCAAAACUAAGAUGACGAUCAUCUAGAAAGAAUCAAAACUUUGGAGUCUGGAGAUAUGAAGAUGAAACCAAAUAAGAAGUAGAAGCCACAAACAUGUGCUUCAUGGCAACAAGUAAAUCUAGUAAGGUAAGACUAUGUGAUUGUCAUAAUUGUAAUACUCCUGAAUCUAACUUAGACAUGAUUAUUGAUGAGCUCUAAAAGGUUAUAGAUGAAUAUAACAAACUAGCUCAAGAAAAGAAAAGUUGUGAAGCUCGAAAAGGAACAAUGUCUGGCAAAUAGAAAUUAAAGCAUCUCAAAUUAAAAUUGAUCUGCUUCAUGAAGAUCUUAGUGAUGCAAAAUAAAAUUAAACAAUUUUAAGGCAAACCCAAGCCAUAGUUACAUAAUAUCAAACUCUUUAAAAAACUAUUUGAGUUCCUCACCAGAGUCGUUUAAAUCAGCUAAGACCUCCCUCUUCUCUCAAUGGCCUGUCUGCUUUAUCUAUGGAUAGAUAGGGCACAAAGCCUACAGUUGUAGGCAUAAUCCUAAAAGUGUGUAGGUGUAGAAAUCCAAAGUAAGAACAUCUAACCCACAAGGAUCCAAGACCGCUUGGGUACCUAAACAGAAUUGAUCUUCUUAUUUUGCAGGACUAUAUCCGCAAAAUCUAUAAAAAGGAGGGAUUGAUAAUGGAUAUUCCAGAAGUAUAGCUGGAAAGAAAAAGAUCUUGUCUUUUUUAAAAAAUAUAGUUGUAUAAAUAGUCAGAUUCAGUGACAAUGCCAGAGGCAAUGUCACAAGAGUCGACUACACCCCCUCAAAGUCGACUCUUGCAUCUGAAAUGAUGAAAUAUAGAUAAAGAUAGAUUCCCUCCAGGAGGGUACUAAUCUCAAUAAAAUAUUUUGUCCCUAUGAUAAGGUUAGAAUCAAAUAAAAAUUAUCCUUAUCAGUUGAUGCCUUCAAAAAUUUUAAGCUGCUUCAUGUAUUUCUUUUCAUAAAGAAAGUUUUGUGAAACAAUCUCCAUAAUUUGAAAAUCCAUUUUUAAAACUUUCUUAAAAGGGGCAACUUUUGAUACAUUUCUAAGCCUUUAAAAGUUAAUUAUUAUUUUUACUAUAUAUGCUUUAACAUUAUUCUUGAUAAUUCUAACAUUUUCUUAUGAGAAUUUUGCCAUUCUAAUGAAAGUUUUGAUGCCCCAAACUCAUGGAUAAGCAAGGAAAAAACUUUAGUUGACUCUCAAAGAACUGAAGCAAGAUACAAAACUCUUGGAAGCUGUUGUACUUAAAUUCUCUGAAUCUUGCGUCAACUACUUAAAUUUUAAUCUAUCUUUUUAGAUUGUUCCCAUAAAGUGUGAUAAUACCAUGCUGAUAGUCUACCUAAAUGUUCUGUGUAUUUUGGGAAAAUUAUAUUAACUUUGAGUAUUUUUCUUUUCAUGAUCUUGCAGAAAAUUGGAUCUUUUCGAAAAGGAAGAAAUCUUAAUUUCUCUGAAAAAGAUUUGGUGUUUAUAAUUCAUGAGUCAUAUUUUUGGACACAAAUCAUUUUACUUAGUCCAACUUAUGAGUCAUAUUUUUGGUCACAAUAUUUUUUACUUAGUCCAAUUUUACUUAUUUUACCAAAAAAUCUUCUUUUAAAAGGAUGUUAUCAUUAAUUAACCGUUUCCCAUGCCACCUCUGUCGCCCCUCUCUCUUCUCCAUGCAGUGUCCUUUUACCUCCAUCAGUUCCCUUUCACUUUAAACCCCUUCACUUCUCCAUUCCUAUUUCUUCUAAACAGUCGUCUCCUCCAGAUUCUCUGAACCGACUCUCCUUCUCUCUCUCUCUCUCCUCUUUUAAAUCUCACCCACUCUCUCUUAUGACAAAAACCUGCUCUAUGGUUAACAUUUUUAGAAUCUCCUCCAAUGGUACUAUUUCUCUUUGAGAAUCCUUGGAUGAGUCCUCGUCUCAGUCCAUCUUCUCAAGAGAUGAUAAUCCUCUUCCAACCCUAUUUCCUCUGCAAAGAAACCCCAUCCAAAUCCUUUUAACUCUUGGAGAUGCACUAAUUCUGGACAAACAUCUACAAAAGCUCCUCUCCUUUAAAAAUUGCUCAAUCGUUCCUAGUUGUAUCGUCAAUCUCAGCCAACUUAAAGAUGCCUCUUGCAAUGUUAGCCACUUUUUCAAAUUUCAAGAUCUGUCCCUACUUUUUUGCCUCUGUGGACUUCUAGUUUAUGAAGAACAGUUUUAUAUGUUUUACACCAAUAUCAUACUUUCCCCAGAUAGUGGUAAAUUUGAGACUCUUGUGCUAGGCACAAGAAUUGUCUUGAAUAACUUUAUGUUUGAAAAUGUUCUUGAUACUAAAUUUUCUGGUGUGGUCCCUUUUAUGAACAAUAACUAGACUUUGGACUUUCAAUUAUAUAUUGAUGAAGCCAAGAAAUUUUUCUCCAAUCCUAAAUCCAUAUUCCAUCGUUUUACGUCAAAUUUUAUAUUAUAGACCAUAUCAUUUCUACCACUUUGAUUCUGUGAAAAGGAUCCCUAAGCAACCUCACUUAUCGUGAUGUAUUUAUGAUGUACUAAGUGGUCAAAAAGAUCAAAAUAAAUUAGGCCACUUGGAUACGCGAGUACUUUUUUGAGAGCGCAAGAAAAGUCAAUGCAUCUGCCAGUUUGCCAUAUGGACUGCUUAUUACCCAGAUCAUCUUGUUCUACUCCAUCGAUCUCUCUGCUUUCCCCAUGUAGAAGUGGUUGCAACUUAUGAUUCAAGAACUUUCAGCAAUAUGGGAUAUGUUCUAGUUAAAGAUGAAUGGUGCAGAAGGAGUCUACCCGUACUAAGGCUUAGCAUCCAAAGGUAAAUAAAUCUGUCUCUAACCCCUCUAUCUCUUUGAUGAAGGAUCUUGAAGAAGUUAGGCAGCGGUUAAAAUCCAUCGAGGAAGGUAUCACGUAAAUCCAAGAGUCUAUUACCAAGCUCUUGGUCCUUGGGAAAAAACUAAGGCUUGACAUAAGUGUGGUCCGACUGGGAAUUGAUGGGCUCAAACAAGAAGGAGUCAAGUUGUUCUCUCGAGUGCUCUCUUGCAUGGACUCUUUGAAAUCCCAAGUAUCUUCCUUGAUAAUUAUCUGCUUUAAUUAUCUGGCUUUCUGUGUUCAAAACUCCUACUCUUCCUUUGCUAAGAAUGUUGAAAAAUCCUAUGGCAAGUUCUGUCUAAUAUGCAUAACACUCUUACCUACUUUCUAGAGAAACGAUGAAUUAUGAACCUUUUAUUAAAAGAAGAGUCCCAUCCCUUAUGUCUAUGGGCUUUAAGAUGAUUUUUACCAAACUAUCUAACAAUUUCUUUUGAUAUGCCUAGUUAAUAGAUUAUGACUAUCCAUGGUUAUCUACUGCCUUUUUUUAAAUGUAUUUUGUGCUUCUCUGUGUGUGUGUAUUGUUUUCUUUCUAAUGCUAUUCUUUUUGAUUAUACCAAACAGGGGAGAAAUAUAAAAAGGGAAACAUCCAUCAGUCAGGAGAAAUAAGUUAACUGUUAACACAUAAAGGUCGACUGAAUAUCCAAGAAACUUAGGAUAAUCCAAGAAACGUAGAAUAAAAAAGAUGCUCACAAGUUAAGGGGAUCAAAGUCGACUUUCAUUACACAAAGGCUGACUGAUGCUUACAAGUCAGGGAGAACAAGAUGACUGAUAGGGAAGUCAACUAAUGUUUACUUAUGUUUGUCAUUAUCAAAAAGGGGAAGAUUGUUAGCCUUUAAAGUCUAUAUUUUAAUAAUGAGAAUUGAAAAGUGGAUCCUUGCAGGAUAUUGAUGACUACUAAUGAAGGAAGUCGAGACCACAAAUGGAAAGACAUCCAAUCAUAAGAAGAUCACGACACUUAAACAAGCAUGGCAAGCAAAUUAAUCAAAUAUCUUGGAAAUGGAAGGAGAAUCACCACCUCAAAAUCAUGAUAGACUAGAUCAAUCAAAAAACCAUCCAGGAGCUAAACAAAAGAAAUGAAGGCCAAAACCAUCAUAUGAAAAUCAAUCUAUACAAGACUAAAAGAAAAGAUAGAUCACAGACAUAUCUGACUUAGACAUGAUCUAAAGCCGUGUAUUGACAUAUUUGAUAUGGACAUAUCAAAGGACUACAUUCCUUAAUUAAGGAAUCAAUUUAAAUCCUUGAUUGAGUAGAAAUAUCUUUGAUUUCCUUGUGAAUAGUUUCAACUGAAUACUAUAAAUGAUGAAUACUGAAGACAGGUACAAGUUAUGCAACAUCAAGGAGAAAAUUCAAAGUGUCUCAUUUUUAGUCUUAUAAGGCUCUAUAACUUUUAGUUUACAAUUGUUAUAUAAAGAGUAGGAUCGAGUCAACUUUGUAACAUCAACUGAAGUUGUGUCAUAAGAUCUGAAGAGCAAAAUAAGUCUUCAGAACUUGUUUCCUAUCAUUGUACUCAUACCCAAUAUUCAACGAUCUGAGGAAACUUUGAAACCUAACGGGACAGGAAGUAGGCACCACAUUGGUGUUUCGAACUAGGAUAAAUUUUUGUGUUAUUACUUUACUUUCUAUUAUUUAUGUGCUUAAUUGUUUAAAUCUAAUCCGUUUGUGAAGUACACUGAUUUGCAGGCGAGUCGACUGAGAGGAUUGAAAAGUCGACUCAUAGAAGAAAAUUUCAAUUCACCCCUCUCUUGAAUUUCAAACCUAACCAAGUAGGAAAGCUAAUGAAACCACUAUUUGGGCCUAUAGUCAAAAUGUCUAACCAUGAAUACACUGUCCAUAAUGUAGUUUAACAUAAAAAUGAAAGGGAUCAGGCUCAUGACUCUAACCUUAAUACCAGUCCAUAAUUACUCUACCAUAAACUAACCAUAAUAAGAAUAAUGAAGUAAACGUAUAGUCCGGACAAAAAAUACCUAACCGAGGCCCCAUAAACCUAAAAGGUUCAAUCAAUACUUAGAAGACAAUAAUGAUAGUCUAUACCUAUGCAACCCCCCAUAAGGUUGAUAGAUAUAAGCAUUAAAUAAUAUACUAGAAAUUGGCAAUGCAUAUGAAUGAAUGAAUACAAGGUAAAUAUAUAGUACAAUAUUUGAUCUACGUUCCAUAACGUACCAAGUGUAUACACUUUCUCCAACUCAAUAUCUCCCAAAGGUAGGACCUACAAUGCCCACUUUUCUCUAGAAUGAUAGCUUAUAUGUGAAGGGGACACUAGGGGAUUUAGGAAUAUAUAUAUAUAUAUAUAUAUACACACUUACCUAGUCCUGAUCAAGGAUUUCCAAUCAUUAUCAUCCUCAGUGUAAUCCAUCUAGUGUUGGAGAGAUGUAUAUAUAAUAAGUGCACGAACUCAAAUAGUGGCUAAAAGAGUUUAGUCUGUAAAUCUAUUAUUUUAGAUCAACUUUCAUAUUAAAUCAUUAUAAUAGGAUAGAAUGGGUUAGAGUCUCUUACAAUCGAUGUAAAUAAUAAAUAACAAGCUACAAUCUAUCUUAGUCUAAAUAGAAGUAAAGUCAUUAUUUUGGUUGGAAUCUUACAACUCAAUGAGAAUGAACACACAUAAUAGUAUGCAUGCCAUAGCCAGUAUCUAAGCAAUAUAACAUAAGGUGCCUAAGUAUCCAUAUCUAGAAUCAUUCCCUUUUUAAGGGUAGAAUACUUAGUCUAACUGGUGUUGUGAACACUGCCUCAGUCCCAACUAUAUAUAACUAGUAUAAAGGUAAUACUAUGAUUUAGGGAAACUACAACUAAGUCGAGUGAUAAAUCUUAUAAUAAAGUGAUUCUUAGCAUCAAUUAUGGUUCACAUUCUUAUAUAAUAGGAUAAUAGUAUUCUAUAACCAUAUGUAUUUUGUUUUUAGGGAUGCUUUACCCUUCUAUCCACAAACUCCUACAUUAGGCUAAGUCAUGGUAUUUUAUCCAUAAUCACAUCCUAUAAUCCUUAACUAGCAUGCAAUAUACAUCAUACACUAUCUCAUGAAGUAGGGUAGACUGAAACCUACAUUAAUGCCAAACCAUAAUACUUGAGUCAUCCAUAAAUAACCCGCCUUUGCUCCACGAUGUCAAAAUUCUGCCCUGUUAUCAAAAUAGUAACCUAAACAUCAUUAGGAGUAAAACAAGUCCCAUAUUGCAAUAUAAAAGGUUGGAUUAGAAUUUGGGUAAAGAAUAGGCCCACGGGAAGUGUGAAUGGAACAUAAAAUUGAAUAUAUCACGAGGUCCCUCAAAGGACAAGGAAUGUAUGCUCAAAAGUUGAGCACAAAUAGUGCCUAAAUCUAGGCCCAAAUCACCCUCUAAGGUCUAGAGAUUUAAAGACCUAAUUUCUAAGAAUUUCUAAUAAUAUGGAAUUUAAAUUGAUGGGAAAAAUAAUGGGAAAUAACCAAGGAGUAUUAAUCCAACUUACCUUAGCUUCAAUGGUUGAUUAUCUAAUCUUUAAGUCUCUUUAAGCUCCAAAAAUAGUGGAGAAAAUAUUGUGAAAUCAGAUGAAAAAUAGGUAUUUAACAUUCCCAGGCUAAAGCAGCUACUUAUCUACUUAAGCACCACAAGUUUGCUAAAGCGGUCAAGCCAUGGGAUGCGUGAAACACCCUAGUUUUUAUCCUUGGAAAUUUUUUGAUUUUGAGCUCUUUGAAGAUCAUCACACUUGUGCUUACUUGUCAUAUGAUGUGGAUAUGGUUUGGAGUCCUUUGUCAUAUGAUACUCAGUAUGGUUUUGGUUGGUUAUUGUCGAAGGUACAAAUAAGCAUCAUACGAGUCAUAUGAUCAUGGUAUGAGUAGUAAGACCCAAAUAGUAAGUUACCAGUAUGUUCUUAAUCACAUUCUUCUUAGGGUAUGAUUUAUGGGUACCAAUUGUAUGAUUAGAUAUGAUUUAGGCCAUGAACUCGUAUGUUGGAUAGAAUUUGAGUCCAAGAUUCUAACAAGGGCAUGAAUGAUGUACCACUUAUAUGUUGGUAUAUGAGUUGGGGCUAGUCGUACCUUCCUAUGCACCUUUUCAGCCUUUAAGCUGAGGACAUUUUAGAUAUUUUCCACCCCAAAAUCCUAAAGUCCCUACAUCUUAAAACAUAUUGUGGCCUCUUAUAACACACUUUGAAAGAUCAAAUCACUCCAAAAACUCUUUCUAAACACUCUCUUAAAGAUUGGGCUGGGAUUUCUAUAAGGUGAUCAUCUAAAGACUCAAGAGUCAAAUUUUUUCUAUGAAUCUUCUCGAAUAAGGCAUGCGACUCUUCCCUAAUUGUUAGUUCUCAAAUAUCAUGCGUUUUAAACACUGAUUAUGAUUCAUUAAUGGUGGUUUUAAAAGCCAAUGUUGAGGCUUUUGUUGUAUAUUAUUAAGUAUUAUUUACUCUUAGUUUAAAUGGUGUUUAUACAUGUUUUUGUUGAUGGUUUGCACAUGUGUGUGCUUGGUAAGUGUGGUUUAUAAAUUGGGUAGUGGUUAACCCUAAACUUGAUGGUUUUUACUUUGGUUUUGGUCUUGGUAAUGGUAUGCCCUCAAAGUGUUUGUGAAAAUACGUAAGAGAAUAAAUUAGUCACAUGUUAAUGGUUUUUUGAAUUAAGGCAUUGGCCUAAUGAAUGUGGAUGGUUGGUAAGUGGUUUUGUGAAGGGGUUGUUGGCCACGCAAUGAUUUAAAUGGUUACCUUGGUGGUUCAAUUGGCUAAAAAGGUUUGAGUCCCUAAACAUUAAACUGUUUAUGUCUUUACUAGAUAAUAGUUUUGAGUCCCUAAAUGUUGAAUUAAAUUGAUGGCUUGGUAUAAAAAAUGGGUCAAGUCCCAAAGUCAAAUAAUAAUGGUUAUAGAAUAUGGUACACUUGCAAGUGGUGUUGGUAUGACAAUACCAACAAAGUGCCUUUGGAAAAUAGUUGGUUUAAUGGUUGUGCUUGGUUUUAAAUUAGGUUUUAAAAGCAGUUUGUGUAGCAGGGCCAUGAAAGUGGAGUCUAAAGGUCUAAUAUUAGACACCGCGCUAGCUGUUGUGGGUGUCUUUAUGAACGGGUGGUUCAAGUCCCUCGAAUAAAUAUAAGAAUGAGAGGUUCGAGUCCCCCAUAAUACAUAUAUUAGUUCUUUAGUUAGUUUAAUUAUCUCAUCUAGGCAUAUACAGUUAUGGAUAUUCUCUGGUUUGUGCAGCUACACAUACUGGGGUGCUUCUAAUUAGGUGAGAGUUAAGCCUAUAUAGCCCUGGGUGCUUUAUUAUAUGACGGUUAAGUUAAAUAUCCCAGGUUAAUGAUUUCAAUGCUCAUGCUAAUCUUGUUCCCUAUCCCAACACGAUAUAUAUAUAUAUAUAUAUAAAUGUAUUGCAUUUGGUUAUGUGCAUUGGAUAAUUGAUUUUGAACUGUUGCCAUUAUAUUAUCCUUAUCCUUGAGUUACAUGCUAGAGCUCCAAAUGCUAACCAUCUUUGGUAUUGUAUCCCCACACAAUGCAGGUGUUGGUCAUACUAUUAUCCCUCAUGCUCAGUGACUUGGACUUGGGGAGAACUUGUAUUGACUUGAAGUGGUGAGCUUCCAUACUCCAAAAGGCUCUAUUUCACACUUUGAGUUUUCUUAUGUCUUUAUUGGUUUAGACUUGUAUAUCAGUUUUUGUCUAUGGUCGAGAGCAUAUCCUAACUAAAUAUUCUUGCAUUGUUUUAGAGGCUUUGUAUAAAAAACUAUGGACUUGGAUAUGUUAUAGAAUGGCUAUGGAUUUGGUAAUUUUUUUGUGGCUUAUUGAAUGAUGGGGUUGGGUAUUAGGGGCGAUCUAUAGUUUUUGUUGGACUUAGGAUGCCCAUUAUGAUAAGGCCCAGGUUAGGGUCGUGUAAUGGUUAGUUGGAUAUCCAUAAAGCCAUGUUGAGUAGAUUCUCUUUUAUGGGUGUGUAGUGCACCACACUCAUAAGGGAGAGGCUACAAGUAUUUAGGAAUGUUUCACUUUCUUGUUGACUCAUUUCAAGCUAUAGAGUCUAAGGUCUUGGAUUCUUCUAAUUUUCAUUUGUUCAUUUUUCAAAUCAUACGCCGACGAUCUGAUGCUUACAGAAAUUUCUCUAUUCCAAUUGGGGAUAAUGUUAGUGGGAGAUGUUCAACUUAUGGAGUCCAGACUCGAUCUAGGGGUGCUGUUCUUGAGUGUUCCAAAGUUCCACAAGCUGACAUGAUGAAUGCUGAGUUUCAUUAGUUGAUUCAUAUGUUUUCUUAGUUGGUAAUUUCUCAGGCUGAGCGUGGUGCAUCUGCUACUACAUCUUCUGAGGUGACAAGGGCUGGAAAGUUCAUGAGGUUGUGUCCUCCAACCUUUACUAGUGUUAAGGUGGAGGAGGAUCAUUAGGGUUUUUUUUGGAUAAAAUAGAAAAGAUCUUUCAAAUUAUGAAUUCCACGAAUGUGGAGGGCGUGGAGUUUGUAGCCUAUAAGAUGAAGGACAUGGCAUACUAAUGGUAUAAAGAAUGGGAUCAGGCGAGGGGUGACGUUGAUGAGUCAGCUCUAUGAGAGGAUUUAUUUAAUACUUUCCUAGGCCGCUUCUUUCCUCUAGAGUUGAGGAAAUAUAAGGUGGAGGGGUUUGUUAAUAUAAGAAAAGAAAUGAUUUUAGUCAAGAAGCAUGGCUUGAAAUUUCAUCAAUUAUCUCGGUAUGCUCCAGAGAUAGUUUCUAGAAUGAGUGCCCAAAUGAGAAAGUUUCCUUCAGAAUUAUCUCGUGUGUUGUUUUGGAAAGUAAAUCUGCCUUAUUAAACAAGGACAUGUAAAUUUCUAGGUUGGAUAUAUACAUGCAACAGGUGAAAGAAGAGAAGAGGAAGUAGGUUGAGUUUAGUGAGAGAUAGGGAAAGAAAUUUAAUCCUUCUGAGCAAAGUGGUAGAGAUGGUGGUAAGUGGAAAAAAUGUAGUGGGGGUGUUUUAAUUUUUUAUCCAUGGCUAAUUCUCCCUUUCCAUCUGCUCUUACACUAAAGGGCGUUAGUUCUAUAUCUGUUUCUGCUUUUGGUAUUGGCACAGGCUGAAAUCAUUUAUAUGCUCUUGUGUCUCAUUAGAAUUCUGAGGCAACCCCCAAUGUCGUUACUGGUAUGUUGAAACGAUUCUCCUUUCUUAUAUGACCCAAUGUGUAUGUUUUACUUGAUCUAAGGUUCACUUUUUCUUAUAUGACCCCAUUUGUGGCUGCGUAUUUUUGUUUUGGUCCUGAGUUAUUUUGAUUAUUUUUUUAUUUCUACCUGAAUUGGAGACUCAGUGAUUUCUAAAAGAUUUUAUAGGUGUGUGUGGUAUCUGUUAAUAGUAGAGAAACUCUUAUGGAUUUAAUAUAGUUGGAUAUGGUUGACUUUGAUGUCAUAUUAGGCAUGGAUUGGUUGGACUCGUGUUAUGCUUUCUUAGAUUAUCGAACCCAUAAUAUCAUAUUUCAAUUCCCUAAAGAGUCAGUCAUUAUAUGGGAAGGGGGUUCUUAGUGCCUAAGGGGAGAUUUAUCACAUUUCUUAGAUCCCAAAAACUGAUUUCCAAAGAGAGCUUGUAUCAUUUGGUUCGUGUUAAAGAUUCUAACUCAGAAGGUCCUUCUUUAAAAUCCAUUUUUGUGGUUAAUAAGUUUCCUGAGGUUUUCCUUGAUGAUUUUCCGGUGUCCCUCUCAAUAGGGUAAUUUAUUUUGAGAUUUAUCUUGUUUUGGACACUCUUCCUAUUUCUAUCCCUCCUUAUAGAAUAGCUUCGGCUGAAUUAAAGAAGCUUAAAGAUUAAUUAAAUGAUCUCUUAGAUAAAGGUUUCAUCCCUAGUAUGUCUCAUUAGGGUGCUCCUAUGUUGUUUAUGCGUAAGAAGGAUGGUUCCCUUUAUCGUGCAUUGAUUUCUAUCAGCUGAAUAAAGUGACUACAAGAAUAAAUAUCCUCUUCCUAGAAUCGAUGAUUUGUUUAAUCAGCUUUAAUGGUGUACCAAUGGUAUAAAGAAUGGAAUCAGGUGAGGGGUGACGGUGAAGAGUCAGUUCCGUGAAAGGAUUUCUCUAAUACUUUCCUAGACCUCUUCUUUCCUCAAGAGUUAAGGGAAGCUAAGGCAGAGGAGUUUUGUUAAUAUGAGGUAAGUGAAGAUAUCAGUCAAGGAGCAUGCCUUUAAAUUUCAUCAAUUAUCUCGGUAUGCUCCAGAGAUAGUUUCUAGUAUGAGGGAUCGAAUGAGAAAACUUGAUUCAAGAUUAUCUCAUGUGUUGAUUUUGGAAAGUAAGACUGCCUUAUUAAUCAAGGACAUGUAUAUUUCUAGGUUGGACGUAUACAUGCAGCAAGUAGAAAAAUAGAAGAGGAAGCAGGCUGAGUUUAGUAAGAGGUAUGGGAAGAAAUUUAGGCCUUCUGAGCAAAGUGGUAGAGGUGGUAGUAAGUGUCCUAAGAAAAAGUGAGGGAGUUUUUGUUCUUUCUCCAUGGCUAGUGCUCCCUCUUUAUCUGUUCCUACACUAAAGGGUGCUUCUUUUACAUCUAUUUCUGCUUCUGGUACUGGCACUAGCCAAAAUCUUUUAUAUGCUCUUAUGUUUCGUUAGAAUUUUGAGACAUCCCCCGAUGUCAUUACUAGUAUUUUGAAACUAUUCUCCCAUGAUGUGUAUAGUUUACUUGAUUCAGGGUCCACUCUUUCUUAAAUGACCCCAUUUGUGGAUGUGCAUUUUUGUUUUGGUCCUGAGUUUAUUAUUGAUAAUUUUUUUAUAUCUACCCGAAUUGGACACUCAGUGAUUUCUAAAAAAUUCUAUAGAGGGUGUGUGGUAUCUUUUAAUGGUUGAGAAACAUUUAUGGAUUUAAUUGAGUUGGAUAUGGUUAAUUUCAAUAUCAUAUUAGGGAUGGAUUGGUUGCACUCGUUCUAUACUUUCUUAGAUUGUCAGACCCAUAAGGGCAUGUUUUAAUUCCUUAAUGAGUUGGUCAUUCUAUGGGAAGGGGGUUCUUAGUGCCUAAGGGGAGAUUCAUCUCAUAUCUUAGAGCUCGAAAGCUGUUUUCCAAAGGGUGCUUAUUUUAUUUAGUCCAGGUUAAAGAUUCUAACUCGAAAGGUCCUUCUUUAGAAUCUUUUGUUGUGGUUAAUAAGUUUUCUGAGGUGUUUCUGGAUAAUCUUGUUGGUGUCCCUCUCGAUAGGGAAAUUAAUUUUGGGAUUGAUCUUGUUCUGGAUACUUAUCCUAUUUCUAUCCCUCCUUAUAAAAUGGCUCCGGCUAAAUUAAUUAAGCUUAAAGAGCAAUUACAUAAUAUCUUAUAUAAAGGUUUCAUCCGUCCUAGUGUGUUUUCUUGGAAUGCUCUUGUGUUGUCUGUGCGUAAGAAGGAUGAUUCCCUCUGGAUGUGUACUGAUUUCCAUCAGUUGAAUAAAGUGACUAUAAAGAAUAGAUAUCCUCUUCCUAGAUUCAAUGAUUUAUUUAAUUAGCUUUAAGGUGCGAAGUCUUUCUCCAUGAUUGAUCCUAGGUCAGGUUAUCAUCAGCUUAAGAUUAGAGAGGUAGAUAUCCCUAAGACUAGACUACCUUCAGGACCCGAUAUGGUCACUAUAAGUUCCUAGUUAUGUUAUUUUGGUUGAACAAUGGUCCGACAACAUUUAUGAAUUUGAUGAAUAGGUUCUUCUGUCCGUUUCUAGAUCACCUCUGUGCUGUGUUACAAACCUUGAAGGAUCAAUAUUUGUAUGCCAAGUUCUCUAAGUGUUAAUUUUGGUUAAAGGUUAUGACUUUUCUUGGUUAUGUUAUAUCUACUGAAGGGAUCAUGGUCGAUCUACUAAAGGUUGUAGUGAUAAAGAAGUGGCCUAGACCUGCAACUCUAAUAGAUAUUCGAAGCUUCUUGGGUUUAACGAGUUACUAUGGGAAAUUUUUGGAAAGUUGUUUGACUAUAGAUGCCCCAUUGACUAGACUAAACAAAAAGAAGGUCAAGUUUUUGUGAUCGAAUGUGUGUUAAGGUAGUUUUUAGAAGUUGAAGGAUAAAUUGACUUCAACUCCGAUUUUGAUUUUACUCUAGGGUAAUGAUGGCUUCAUAGUGUAUUGUUGGGCUUCUCGUGUUGGGUUUGGUUGUGUGUUAAUGCAGCAUGGUAGGGUGGUGUCUUAUGCUGCUAGGCAUUUCAAAGUUCAUGAUAAGAACUACCAUAAUCAUGAUUUGGAGUUGUUGGUUGUGUUUUUUUAUUGAAAAUUAGGCAUCACUAUCUCUAUGGGGUUUAUGUUGAUAUCUUUUCUGACCAUAAAACCCUACAUAUUUUCUUUAAUCAGAAAGAUUUAAAUCUUAGGCAAUAGAGGGGACUAUGAUAUGAGUCUCUAUGACCAUCAGGUUAACCUAACAUGGUUAUUGAUGCUCUUUGCAGGUUAUCCAUAUGGAGUCUAGCUCAUAUGGAUGAGAAUAAGUGAGAGUUGGUAAAGAACAGUCACUAUUUGGCUAGUCUUGGAGUUUGUCUCACAGACUCUGUGGAUGAUGGAGUGUUCAUGCAUCAGGUAUCAUAGUCAUUCCUUAUUGCUAAGAUAAAGGAAAAACAAAUGUUGGAUUCUAAUUUGAUGAAGAUUAAUAACAAUGUAGGUCAACAAAAGGUUGUUGACUUUGUGAUUGGUAGUGAUGGUAUCUUGGGGUACCAAGAAAGGUUAUGUUUUUCCAAUGUCAAUGCUUUGAUGGAAAGGAUUUUCGUUGAAGAUUAUAGAUCUCGUUAUGCUAUUCAUCCUUGUUCUACGAAGAUUUAUCAUGAUCUUAAAGAGUUUUAUUGGUGAAAUAAUAUAAAGCGAGAUAUGGCUGACUAUGUAGCUAAGUGUAUGGUGUGUUAAUAAUUGAAAGUUGAACAUAUGAAACCCAGAGGUUUGUACUAAGAGAUUGAGUUGCCCGAAUGAAAGUGAGAGGUAAUUAAUAUGGAUUUCAUUAUUGGUCUUCCUCGAUCUCAGAAUCAGUGUGAUUCAAUUUAGGUUAUAUGGAUAGGAUGACCAAGUCUGCACACAUGUACCUUGUGGAGAUUAUAAAGUUACAUGGUGCUCCUAUUUCUAUCAUCUCGGAUUGUGGUACUCUAUUCUCAUCUCAUUUUUAGCAAUGGUUUUAAAAAGGUUUAGGGACUAAGGUGUGCCUUAGAACCGCUUUCCAUCUGCCAUCAGAUGGUUAAGCCGUGAGGGCUAUACAGACAUUGGAAGAUAUGCUUCAUGCUUGAAUGAUUAACUAUGGUGGUAGUUGGGUUGACCAUUUUUCUCUUAUAGAGUUUGGUUAUAAUAAUAGUUAUCACUCUAGAAUUGGUAUAUAUCCUUUUGAGGUGUUAUAUGGUUGUAGAUAUUAUUCUCCAUUGGAUGGCAUGAAGUUGGUGAGGGUAAGUUGUUUGGCCUUGAUUUGGUUCACCAAGUCUUUGAGAAGGUAAAGGUGAUUCGUGAUAGAUAGAAAAGCGCUCAAAGUUUUCAAAAGUCCUAUGCAGAUGUGAGGUGUAAAGAGUUGGAGUUUAAGGUAGGUGAUUGGGUAUUACUAAAGGUGUCUCCCAUGAAGGGAGUAAUAUGGUUCGGUAAGAAGGAGAAGCGCAGUCCUCGGUAUGUUGGUCCAUACUUAGUUUUGGGGAGGGUUGGCAAUUUUUCCUAUGAGUUAAUGUUUCCUUCUAGCUUGAGCUCUAUUCAUCUGAUUUCUAUGUCUCUAAGUUGAGAAAAUGUGUGGGUGAUCCUUCAUCAGUUGUUCCUUUGGAAGGGUUGGGUAUCUCAGAUUCUUUAUUUUAUGAGUUGGUCCCAAUUGAGAUCUUGGAUUGUCAAGUUCAUUGGUUGCGAACAAAGGAUGUGGCUUCGGUAAAGGUUCAUUGGAGGAAUCAUGAGGUUGAAGAAGCUACUUGAGAGGCAGAAAAGGACAUAAAGUCCAAGUAUCUGCAUUUGUUCCUCGUUCCGGAGAUUUAUUCUUGAGCUAUGUGUUGAACUUCUCAUCUUGGUUUUAUGUCUUUGUUUUCUAACUUGUUUAGAAGGAAGUUUGAUAGGUAACAUUAUGUUGAAUCGUGCUUGUAAUUGUCUUUACCCAUCAUUCGAGGACGAAUGAUCCAAGUGGGGGAGAAUUAUAACACCCUAAUUUUGAUCCUUUGAAAUUUCUUAAUUUAGAGGUCUUUGGAAAUCAUACGACUUGUGUUUACUUAUCAUAUGAUAUGGAUAUAGUUUGGAGUCCUUGGUCGUAUGAUACUUACUAUGGUUUGGGUUGGUUUUUUUCCAAGGUCGAAUGGGAAUCAUAAGAAUCCUAUGAUCAUUGUACAAGUAGUAAGACCCAAAUCAUAUGUUCAUGUAGCACCCCAUAGCAUUCUUAAGUUGAUAACACUCAUAGUUGCAUGUAUAGGGAGUUUGAGCCCUGAAAAUUUUCUAAGCGUUGAAAGGAGUAGUCAUAUUUUAAGCCCUUAACUUCAAUGAUUUUUAAAUUGGUCUUCUGGACCUUGAGAUGUAGAUUUAUGAGUUAUUUCAUGUUCGGGGGUGUUAAGGGCAUGUUUCAGGGAAGUUUUGGAUUUUUCAGUCGAGGUUUGAGCCAUAUUUGGAUCACAAAAAUAGCAGGUCACUACAAUUUCACUGUGUUGCAGUGCCUAUGGCGAUGAGCCCUCUAGUGCAACGCGAUGGACUCCAAAACCGGAUUCAGUUAUGAAGUUAAUUCCAAAGGGCAGUCUUAUCUUUUCCCCAUAGCCCCAUGUCAUAAUAACAUGAAAUUAAGUCCUCAUUAGGGUAUUAUAUGCCAAAGAUUACUCAAUUUCUUUCCCAACUAAACCCUAACUCCUCCCCCAAAAAUCAAGAGUUCAAUCUCUAGGUUCAAGAUUCUCAAGAAAGUGUCAAGAUUAGGGUUCCAUUCUUUAAACUAAGUAACCUAAGGUACGUGGGGAUAUCCUAAAUCUCAUGGGCAUAGGUUUUUAUGAUUUUUCUAAAUUUUAAAUAUAUAUAUACACACACGUAUAACAUAUUGGAUUUGGUAAAUUAAUUCAAGAGCAUGCAUUGUGAAACCAAUAUGAAGAAAUUAUGUUAUUGUUAUAGGGUUUUCCCAUGAUGUUUGAUUUAUAAUCCUGUGCAUAUAUGAUUUGAAUUGAAAGAUGAAUUAUGAACGUAAGUUGUAAAAUCUCUACUUUCCAUGAUGAUAUUUAUGGACUUUGCAUGAUAUCUAUUAUAAAUUCUUUUGAGAGAAUGAUUUAAGGGACUUUGUUGGUCAUGAGUUUUAUCUUUAACUAUGUAUGGGCUAGUUUAUGAAAGAGGAUAAUUUAUUAAGUCUUAAAAGUUUCCCUAACCAUUGUGCAUGUGUUGAAUAAAUUGAAUGGCACCACAUUUUAAUGUCUUGUAAAGAAAAUGGGUUGUAUGAGUUUUAUAUGCCUUUGACAAUGAGAAUCCACGUAUGAUUUGAUAAAAUCUUUGGUGGUCAUUUACAUGUUUGGAAGGAGAAGGGUUAUGGAAUUGAUAUUAUGUGAAUGGCUUGCAAGUAUAGGUAUGACGAUACCCUGUUGUGAUCCGCCCUUAAUAACAAAGGGAAAGAUUUGUUAGUAACCAUGAGUUACGUUUUAAGAGGCUAGACAUUGGGCUUAAAGAGAGCUAGAAGAUUACCCGAAUAAAGCAUGAGUUGAAAGACUCCACGCUAGAAACUGUUGUUCGCCGACUCUGGAUUAUUCCACCAUGAUUUGUGGUCUUGUGUGCCUUGAUUCAUGCCGUCACAACUUAGGACUAUGGUUAGGAGACAUGCUUUUUGGUCUUGUGCACUACCAUGACAUGUUGAUUUGAUUGGGGAUUAUGGCACCUUUCUUUGUGGUCUUGCGUGUCCCCCUUAUUGAAACUCUAAUCCUUGCGGCAAACAUGGACUGGGAGGCUUGACCGCCGAGUCUAGGGAGGAUUUCAUAUAGCUUUUAGAAUUACAGAACUGUAGGGUGUACCAUCUAGCUCAGAAAUAAGACAAAGAGUGACUCAUGAUUUCAAAGAACAAUUUCAAAGUCUUUUUAGUAUGCCCAUGUGUUUUCAUAUAUCGUAUACAGAAUAUUUUAUGAAUCGCUCUCAUGUAUGUUGUAUAAAAGUAUGCUAUUUUGGUUUGCUCUGCGUACCAGCAUAAUCGUAUUGACCCCUUGUAUUUCAAGAUCUGAGGCUCAGUCCUGGAGUCCCGCUAAGCAUUAGAUCAUUUAAGAUGUUUGGAUUGGUGAGCCUCCCUUAUUUCGGAAGGCCUUGUUUUGUGUGUUAUUUUCAUUUGGACUUAGUUUAUGGUCCGACCGAGGACCUUGUCCCGGUUUCACACAGAUGUUGUUUUCAGUUUAGUAGCGAGUUUGCAGAAUUGUGUUAGAUGGUUUUGGGUCUGUAUGAACUUAUGUUUGUGUUAUUUUAGUUGAAAUAAUAAGAUAACCGUAUUUCCAGUUUACUUUUGUGUUUUUAUUAGUUGUUGAAUUAUGCAUAUGCUUAAAAGUUAACUGAGCUCUCGGGCAUUCAUGGUUUGGCAUACUCAUCGCGGCUAGGGCCUCGAUUAGGGUCAUAACAAACUUGGUAUCAGAGCACUGUUCAUGAUCCUAAGGUGUCUGUGAAAUCACAUCGGGUAGAAUCCUUUAUAUUGGUGUGUAGCAUACCACACUUAUAAGGGGGAAGCUACUAGAAGUUUAGGAAUGUCUCUCUUUUCUUAAUGCCUUAGUUCUUUCUUUAGAGUCUGAAUGUCUCCUAACUCAUGAUUUCCUAUAUUUUAGAGAUUUAUCAUGCCUUCCCGUAGAUCAAAUGAGCAGAACCCCAAUAUUGAUGAUGUCCGCCCUACUCAUGGAUGCGGACCCAUAACAGAACUCGUACUCCAAAAUUUAUUGCUACUCUGGGAGUUUCUCUAAUCCAGACUAGUCCACCUCUGGCUCCACAGACCGGUGUUAACCAUCCCCAGCCUCUUCAAAGAGAAGUUUCGAAUGAUGAGUUUCGACAGUCCAUCCAUAUGAUUGCUUAGCUUGUGGCUUCCCAGUCCCGUCGGUCGGAAGAUGUGAAUUUGGUGCCUGGUUCUUCUAAAUCUACUCGGAUUGGUUAGUUCAUAAUGCUGAACCAACCCAUCUCUACUAGCACAAAGGUUGAGGAGGAUCCCUAAGGGUUUAUUGAUGAAAUAGAGAAUAUUUUUAGAGUUAUACAUGGUAAUGAAGUUGAAGGGGUUGAGUUGGCAACCUGUCAGUUGAAGGACGUAGCUAACCUAUGAUACAACAAGUGGGAGAAAUUGAGGUGUAAAGAUGCUGAACUUUUUGUGUGGGGUAACAUUGUUGAAGCUUUCCUGGACCAUUUAUUUCCCCAGGAACCAAGGGAGGCAAAGGAUAAAGAAUUCAUGAAUUUGAAACAAGGAAUGAUGGGUGUUAAAAAGUAUAUAUUAAAGUUCACCCAGCUAUCUCAUUAUGCCCUAGAGUUAGUAGGAAACAUGAGGGCCCAUAUGAGAAAAUUUGCAUAUGGUCUCUUGGAUGAUCUGGUAUUGGAAUGUAAAAGAGCAAUGCUAAAUAGGGACAUGGAUUGCUCGAGGUUAUUGAUGCAUAUGCAACAAGUAGAAGAGGAUGGCUGAGGUGAAGAAGAAGGAAAGGCAAACUAAGAGAGCUAGGUCUGCGGAUCAGAAUUUCAGUUAGAACCAAGGUGGCAAUUGGGGUAACAAUGGUCUAAGAAAAUGUGUUGGAGCAUUGCUCAGUCUUCAGCUAGCGCCCCUGUAUCCAAACCUCUUGUUGAUUAGCUGUUUUAUAACUCCCAGCGUAAUACUGGGUUAAGGAUUCAGGAAGCCCAGUCCCAGGAUAGUGUGACUCAGCCCGUUAGGUUAUACCCUCACUGUAGUAUUUGUAGGAGGAACUACCCAGGGAAGUGUUAUUUUGAGAAUCGAAUGUGCUACUCUUGCGGCCAUGUGGGCCAAAUUUAGAGAAACUACCUCUUAAUUAGGGGAAGUGUUGGGGCUCUAAGUUCCAAACUAACUGUACAGCUCCACCAUCAAAGUAUACUACUUUUUUCACCGUGAUUCAGUGGUCGCAAUAGGUUGUAUGCCUUAUCUGCCCGCCAAGAUUCAGAGGCUUUGCCAGAUGUUGUUAUGGGUAUGUUACAGAUUUUCUCCCGUGAUGUUUAAGUGUUACUUAAUCCCGGGUCUACUUUGUCAUAUGACCCCUUAUGUGGCAGUUCGUUUUGAUUUUAAACCUGAAAAUAUCCCUAAACCCUUUUCAGUUUUCACUCAUGUUGGUGAUUCUAUUGUGGCUACGAGAGUUAAAAGAAAUUAUGUAGUGUCUAUUUUUCACCGUAAUACUAUGGCUGAUCUGGUAGAGCUGGUCAUGAUUUAUUUUGACGCUAUACAGGGGAUGGAUUGACUUCAUUCAUGUUAUGCUACCCAAGACUGUUGAAUUUACUAUUUCUUAUCCUAAUGAGCCGGUGUUAGAGUGGGAGGGAUGUUCUCUAGUAUCCAAAGGGAAAUUCAUAUUUUAUCUUAGAGCUCGUAGAUUAUGUCGAAGGGUUGUCUGUACCAUCUUGUUCGAAUCAAAGAUUCAAAUGUUGGAAGUCCUUCCCUCCAGUCUAUCCCUGUAGUUAAUGAAUUUUCUGAAGUCAUUCCUGUUGAACUCCCCGGGGUAUCGCUAGAUAGGGAGAUAGAUUUUGGUAUUAAUUUGUUGCCGAACACCCGUCCUAUUUCUAUUUGAGCCAUAUAGAAUGGCUCCUGUACAAUUGAAAGAGUUGAAAGACCAGUUGAAAGUCCUACGUGAUAAAGUCUUUAUUUGUCCUAGUGUCUCUCCCUGGGGUGCUCCGAUACUCUUCGUGUGAAAGUAAAAUGGCUUCUUCCGUAUGUGUAUAUAUUACCGUCAGCUGAACAAAGUUAUAGUAAAUAAUAAGUACCCUCAUCCCAGAAUCGAUGACCUUUUUGACAAACUUCAGGGUGCCAAAUGUUUUUCUAAAAUAGACCUUCAUUUGAGGUAUCGUCAGUUGAAGGUUAGGGGGGCCGAUAUUCCCAAAAUAGUUUUCUGAACCCGCUAUGGUCAGUAUGAAUUCCUAGUUAUGUCCUUUAGAAUGACUAAUUCCCCUGCAACUUUUAUGGACCUAAUGAAUAGGGUGUUUGUUCAGUUUUUAGAUUUGUUCAUCAUAGUCUUUAUCAAUGACAUCCUGGUUUACUCUAAGAAUGAGGAGGAUCAUUCCAAUCACCUCUGAAUCAUCCUUCUAACCCUUAGAGAUCAUUAGUUGUAUGAAAAGUUUUCCAAGUGUGAAUUCUGGCUUAGUUCCAUUGCUUUCCCGAGGCACAUCAAUUCUAGUAAGGGGAUCAAAGUUGACCCCCAAAAGGUUGAGGCAGUGAUAAAACGGCCCAGACCCAAGACUUCAAUCGACAUCUAGAGCUUCUUGUGUUUGGCAGGGUAUUACAGGAUAUUUAUAGAAAUUUUUUCCUCCAUAGCUACCCCCUUAUGAGAUUAAAUUAGAAAAAGGUGAAAUUCAUGUGGUCUGACUCUUAUGAUGAUAGUUUUGAAAAACGAAGGACAAGUUAAGUACUGCACCAGUUUUAACCCUUCUUGAGGGUAAAGAGGGCUUUGUUGUAUACUGUGAUACAUCCCGGGUGGGACUUGGGUGUGUGAUUAUGUAACAUGGGAAGGUGGUGGGCCUAUGCAUCUUUACAAUUGAAGGUACACGAAAAGAACUAUCCUACCCACGACUUGGAAUUAGCAGCUGUGGCAUUCACCCUAAAGAUUUGGCAUCAUUAUCUCUAUGGGGUGCAGGUUGAUAUAUUUACUGAGCACAAAAGUUUGUUGUAUGUUUUCAUGCAGAAAGAAGUUACUUUCAGGCAUAGGCGGUGGUUGGAAUUACUAAAGGAUUAUGAUAUGAUCUUGAAUUAUCAUCUCGGCAAGGCCAAUAUGGUGGCCGACGCCCUUAGCAGGUUGUCUAUGGGUAGUCUUUCUCAUGUGGAGGAGGGAAUGAGGAAUAUGGUGAGAGAUAUUCAUUAGCUUGCAAAUUUGGGUGUUCGGCUCCUAGAUUCCAAAGAUGGAGGAGUGUUCGUGCACGGGGUAGCUAAAUCCUCCCUAUGUGUAGAAGUUAAGGAGAAGCAGGCUGAGGAACCCAUUUUGAUACAGAUUAAGAAAUAUAUUGGUCAACAAAAGGUAAUGGCUUUUGAAAUUAUCGGUGAUGGGAUUUUGAGGUAUCAAGGUAGGUUAUGUGUGCCAAAUGUGGAUGGGUUGCAAGAAAGAAUCUUGAUGAAGAUCACACUUCCAAGUAUGUGGUUCACCCAGGUUCUACUAAAAUGUAUCAUAUCCACUGGGAAAAGACACAUUGUGUCUCCUAUAAAGUCGUUGGAUAGAUUCAUUGUCUCUCUAGUGAAAUUCUAUUUUUUAGAUCCCUUCAUAUACAUUAAGCGCUACGAGUCGUAGACUAACACUAUGAGUCGUCAUCAGUCUCAUAUCCACUGGGCACCAACUUGUAAUAUCUCAACAUCUUUCACCAUGAGUGCUCAUAACGAUUUUUCCCUACGAGUCGUAGCCAGCUUCAACUUUAUUCCUCUUGUUAGUGUUUCUCAGUGUUCUCCUGACGAAUUUGGCUACAAGUCAAAUGGUCAAACAAUGACUCCUAAUCUGGGAUAUAACUUCACUUUUUGAAUCUUUCUCUUCUCAUCUUGUUCUAAUCACUUCCAACCCUAUUUUCCUAUUACAUAAACACAAACACCCACUAUAUUUACCAAAAUAACUUAAGUUCAUGUAUAUUUUUUUAUAGCUUUAAGCAUUGAAAGUGCCAUAAAACUAUGGCACAUCAAUAACUGGACUGACAGUUUCAUAAGUCAUAAAUAACCUAUAGCUAUUAUAGGAAGGCUUGAAACACCGAAAAUGCAUGUAAAUUGAGUAAAUAACAUGAAGAUUCAUUAUAAUAUCCAUUACUAAAAGGACUUUUGAUUGCAAAAGUCAAUGGAUAGAAAGGGAAUGGAGGCUCGAAGGGAUGAGGUACUGGGCCAACUUGUUUUGAGAAAAGCUCUCCAAAUAACCUUUAAGAAUAAACAACACUUUCAAGGGAUUUUGAUGUAGGUAUCCCUUUUUCAACCAACUUUUGGAAUUCACUUCUUAAAUAGCCAAGCUCAACCCAAUAAUCAACUGGCCUCUAGCUGAAUCAAGAAUGGUUAAUGCAAGAAAACCCAAUACACCAUAUAUUAAUACCCUAUAGAUACCGACACAAUUAAGUAGAAACCCAACCAAGCCAUAGGAAAUCGAAGGCAUAAAUCAUGUAACGAACUCCAACAUCAAAUUAUAGCCAUUUUUUUCCUUUCCAAACCUCCUAUCAACUCCAAAACGUAAAAAAUCAUUCAAGUCCUAUUCGUGAUAUCCCAUCAAACUGACCUCAAAUAACUAAAGCUGAUCCACCAAUAAUCCAUAAUGACAAACAUAAGAUAAGCCCAUAGGGUACUACCUGAACAUACUAGGGAAGAUAGUCAAGCCUAUAAUCAACCAUCAAGGAUACAACUAGUCCGAACAACCUUCAAAACUAAUAGUUAGGAGUCUAAAGCAUAAGAUCUUGGAAUUGAAUUAUCUGCUCCAGAAUGUCCCACUCAACUGAGGAUAAAACCAUGCUAAUCCUAACCUAAUCAUACUAAUUUUUUUGAGUAGACAAUCCAAAAUUAUGACAAAACUGAAAAUCAAUGUCAAGAGAGGAAGAAACCAUUAUCAAGUGCCAACGAGCUAUCAUCCCAAUAUCUAGCAACCAUAAUCUAGCUGAAUUGAAGAAAAUCAAAUAGGUAGAUAAGGAGUAGGUCAGGUUAGCCUAUAAAUGAAUGCUCAACUAACACAAAUAAAAAAAUAUAGGCUUCCCCUAAGCUCAAUGCUUACAUCUAAAAUCCCAACACCAAGGCUAAACCUCUUAAUCUUUUAUCUUAGGCAUAUUUAUACAUCUAAGUGUCAUUAUUGAUAUGUGUUUAUCCUAGUUUUGAGGACUUCAUAAUGUGUUUGAUUAGUUAAUAAGGGAGUAAUGGUGUAAUUAUGUGCUUAAGUGUAUGUUUAGAGUGAUUAUGGUGCAUUCAAAAUAAGUUAAGAACCAAAAUGGUCACAGAGAGUUUAGAUGAGAAAACUAGUGGUGCUAGACUGAUCUAUGCUUGUUCUAGUGCACUUUGAUGAAUUCUAUUAUGUUAUAGUACUAACAGUUGUUACUUGAUGUUGUAGGAUACCAUAGAAGGUAUUAGGAGCUAUGACGGGAAUCAAAACAAAUUUAAAUGGAGUUGGAAAGAAAACUACAAAAUACGGGACUUGAAGGAAAGUGGAAGGGGUAAACAACAAAGAAAACUUGUCAUUUGGAUAGCAAGGGUGUGCCACACGCCCAGAGCUUUGAGAUAAGGGAAUGGCAUGCCCUUGGACAAAAGAUAACAUGUAAAUUCUGGUAAUGGUACAUUUUAAGGGUGUGUCACGCCCAAGAAAAUCCGCGUUAAGAGUGUGCCACACCUAAGGUAAUUUUAGGUAGAAAGCCCCCUACACUAUCAAUAGGACACUUAGAUCCUAUCCUAAACACCUUGGACGUCUUUGGGAGAGAGAAAACACAUGAAAAAGGCUCCAAUUAGGUUUUUUAUUUUUUAGUUUAGUUUAAUUCUAGCUUUACUUUUGAAUUCCAUUCUUGUGAUUCUUUGUAAGACUAUGAGUGGCUAAACACCCACAUUCUAGGGUUUAGGUUAUGAAAAUGUAUACUUAUCAUUCAAUAGAGUUGCU
rnacentral:lncRNA from 1 species